rnacentral:lncRNA from 1 species
UGGAAGGAAAGUAUAUGUUAUAUGGAUGUAAAUAAGUACUUCUUUGCUCUGUGAAUAACCAGAGCAAACUCCAAUGCCAUAUAUAUUACACAUACAUGAUAGCCGGAGCUUGCAUUCACAUAUAUGUUCCUCACCCAACGCUAGUUGCAGUAGUUUUUUCUAGCAGGUAUAUGUAGGGGGAGAGAUCGAUCGAGAUGGAUGAUGCCAACAAUGGAUACAUCAGCAGCAUAUAUAGAAGCAAAGGAACCAACAGCAGCAAAAGGUGAAAAAAAGAAGAAGAAAGAAACCAAGGUGUGUGUGUGACCCCAAGGAUGCAAAACCGAACGAACAGGUUGAGAGGCAGCAGCAGGCAGCCAUAUGCCAUUAGCUCACGCAGGAGCUAGCUAGCAGUUUAAUCACUCGCUGCCCGCGGGCUUGUAGGCGAUGAAGCUGACGCACUGCGUCUGCUUGAUGUUGUCGAAGCCGAGGAUCCGGACGUAGGCGUCCGGGUAGGAGGCGAUGGCCUCCUGCAGCUCCUUGUAGACCUGCGACGCGUCGGUGCAGCCGAACAUGGGCAGCUUCCACAUGGUCCAGUAGCGGCCGUCGUAGUAGCACGGGGAGGUGGAGUUCUCGCGGUACACGAAGCCUUCCUUGCUGAACUCGAGGCAGGGCACCCAGUUGUUGCGCAGCAGGUAGUCCACCUGCUUCAGCAGCUGCUCCUCCGUCAGCGGCGGCAGGUACGACAGCGUCUCGAACUUCUUGUUCCCGUACGCCGGCCACACCUGCAAAUUAAUGCAUGCAUCGAUCGAUGUACGUGUUUGUGGUUGCAUUUCGCUAGCUCUGCUGCAAAGAAUGAAUGAAGAUGGCCGGCCGGAGCCAAGAACGAAAGGCCAACUAGCUCUUGUGUUAAUUAUGUUGUUAUUACCUGCAUGCACCGGAUCCUGCCGCCGUUGCUGACUUUGGCGAGGCUGGUGGUGGAGCGGCGGGCGACGGGGAGGGUGGCGGUGGACUUGAGACCCUGGAACGGAGCGACGGCGGUGGCGGACGAGGCCAUCACGGUGGGCGCCAUUGCUGCUGCUAUGUAGUACUAGUAGCUAGUGAGGGAGCGAGCUGAGAGUGAGCUGCUUGCUGUUUUUGCUGCUUCUUGCUGCUUGGGUCGUCCUGUAGGCUCCCCCACCGAGGGCAUAUAUAGAAGAGGCAGCGAGCGUGCGUCCAUGGCGACGGAUGGCUGUCGUUGGGGCAAGGACGGAUCGGACGAAUGAAGCGGAUGUGGGAGGAGUGGCCACCGUUGUCCCAUGGCGGGCAACCCGGCCAGCCUGGCCUAUCCUGAUCGCGUCCGCCGCCACAUGUCGCGUCCCCGUGGCGCGCCUUAUCGUCUCAGCCAGCCAACAUGUCCAUGGAGCCACGCCACGCCACGCCAUGGUUGGACUAUAUGUGAUGUGCCACCACUUUAAUUAUUUGUAGAUAGAUAGAUAGAUAGAUAAGCUAGCCGCAGGUAGUAGUGCAGUGGUGAAAGUCACUACUACUGACUGCAAACCAAAAUUUCCCUGGCCGUGCCCGGACUCGCUCGCUGUCUCCGAUUAAACCUAGGUAUAUGUUGAGCAGGACGUCCCCUGGCCGUCGCCAUGGCCGGACUCGCUCGAUCUCUAGGAUCCGAGGUGGUCCUGCUCUGCUCCGUCGUCGGCGAAGAUGAAGACACACCCACUCGUCGUCCCCUUCCUCAUGCAAAUCUGCGCCGCACAAGCUGUUUCCAAAAUUUCGCUGGCCGUGGCCGGACUCGCUCGCUAUCUAUCUCCGGUCUCCCGUCGCCGAUCAAACCGAUCGAGCAGGACGUCGCCGCCGUGGCCGGACUCGCCCUCUAGCUCGUCGUCCACGAUCGAGCCAGGAUCCGGCCGAGGUGGUCGUGGUCCUGCUGCUCGGUCGGUGAAUGACUGACUCGUCCCCUUCCUCCUGCUGCAAAUCUCCGCCGGACGCAUGCAUCCGCCGUCUCUCUCAAGCAGAAGCAGUUCCAUUCAGCUCGAUCGUCGUGGUUUGUGAAAGGAUAAGUGAAGAACGACGACAAUGGAAGGGGAAAAAAAGACAAACAGUUUUGGGCUUGGGCUUGCUUCGGCUGCGUCUGCUUGCUCUUCGCCUCUAGUGCUCUCGUCCCUCUCACAUGUUCUACUACAUUCUACACGGACGGCUGCUCCGGACCACCUGAUGAUGCACUGAUGAUCACGGCCUGUUUGGAUCUAUAGAAUUAAUUGGGCUGAAUUUGGAAUCAGUUUCAUGGGUCUCGGCUAGUUUGGCUGCGCAUUGAACUGGAAAGUGACAUUCCAAGCUGUUCCAGAGCCUGAAUUUGUGGCCUAGCUACCUCAAAUUCAUGGGCUAUCCAAGACAAAACGAGUCCGCCUCCUCAUUGUCUUCAUCGGGCGUACGACGCUUCAUUCCUCAACCAUUUGACCUGUUCUAUAUUUCUAAAAAGAAAAGCCGCCCGCCUUGACCAUUACGAAAAAUACAUAAACGAUUCGCUAAAGUUGCAUUUAAAUUCCCCACGUUUGUCAUUUCUAAAGAUAAAUUUAAAAAGCCUUCUAAAUUGCAAUUAAUUACCGAAACAUGCCUAAAAAUGCGUCUGCAUUUUUUUUUACUAUGAAAGGUACUAGACACAUAUUCACGCAUUGCCGCGGGAUUUUCUUAAAAAUAAUCUGUUUUGUAUAUAGCAAUGCUAUAUGGUAUUCUGUAUAUUGUGUGUAUAUUUAUGAAUUUGACUUGCAUGUUAUUUUAUUGUAUCGGAUCUAGUAAAAAAACAAUAAGCUAAUAGAAAAAACCAAUAAAAUAGUUGAUUGCGUUAUACAAGAAUAGGUGAUGAAACAAAUAACAUAUGUAAAUAACUUUACAUCUACAUAAUAGAGAUGAUGAGGAUAUUUUUUGUAAUUAAUAAGGGAUGACAUUUACGUUAAUAGGUUAGAGAUUAAAAGUAUUGCACAUAAUAAAGAUGAUGUGAAUAUAUUUUAUAAUUAAUAAGAGAUAUUGUGUAAUUCGAAAAAAAGGAUGCAUGACAUGGAUAGCUUGCAUGAAAGGAUUGCAAGUUAGUGGGACACUUAUGGGGUGUUUGAAUCUUGGGACUAAAGUUUAGUCCUUGUCAUAUGUUGGGUACUAAUUAGUAGAAUUAGACAUGAGCUAAUUAUAAAACUAAUUACAUAAGUUGUGGCUAAUUCACAAGAAAAAUCUAUUAAGCCUAAUUAAUCCAUUGUUAACACAUGUUUACUGUAGCACCACAUUGUAAAAUCAUACACUAAUUAGGCUUAAUAGAUUCGUCUCAUAAAUUAGCUACAAUCUAUGUAAUGAGUUUUGUAACUAGUGUAUAUUUAAUAAUACUCUAAAUUAGUAUACAAACAUCCAAUGUGAUAGAAACUAAAGUGAGGGAUGAUAUUAACACCUUGCAUUCAGAGAGAAAACAUCUAGUCGGGUCCAGCUUUAUAAAAGUAUAUAGAUUACAAAGUAACACUAAAUGUGCCUUUUUAGAUUACAUAUAUCUAAACAAUGUAAAUACGCCACAAAUGUUUGUCUUACCUAUAAUAUAUAUUGUACAAAAUAAUUCAGUAACCAUAAAAAUAUGCUAUAUAUAUUUCUAUACACAUUCUACCAUUGUAAAAUUAAAAGUAAGCAUUAAUGCUACGGGUCAUCAUGUAGACAAAGUAAACAUGCUAUUGAUACGAUAAACAAUUUACAAUGAGUCAUCUAGCCAUUUUUCUGGCUAGGAACUCAACGAAAUGGGCAAAACAGCUAUUUAAAUGGGCGUCAAUGGUCGAAUAAACAGAAAUGACAGACCACCAUGCAAUGUUCAAAUGAGGUUUAAGCAGGCUAAGUGAUGGUUUACUCGAACCAUGGUACAAACAUAGCAAAAAACAAAAAAAAACAUUACAACAAGCAUUAGAAAAAACAUAUAGCUUGUUUCUACUGUCCCACCGCAAAAACCACCUAAAGCUAUGAUUAAGCUUUUCAAAAUUUAGGGAUUUUUUUGUAAAUAAAACUGACCCUGUAAAUAUUUUUCAAAACCAAGAACUAAAAUGUUGUAGUUCUUACCUCCAAAUAAUUACAGAAAAGCUUAGAGGUCUUUUUUGUAAAAUUGUCAUUUUCAAAAUGAUUUUAAAUCUAAAAAUGUUAUGACAUAAUCAAUUGGAUUAAUGACAUUAGCAUAUAUUUUUGAAAUGAAUUAAUCAUUUCAUAAGAGAAAUAAUUUGGUUAGGGACUUGUUUGUAAAUAACCUUAGAUAUCUAGAUGGCAAUAGCUCCGCCGGUCUUUUGCCAAAAUAGUGCUUUGGCGGUUGUGAUCAUCAGCAAGCGAUAGAGAUAGCUGAGCAAGCCACGAUGAACAAGGGGAGGUUACCUUUAUAAUGAAGAGGCACAAGAGGAGGAGAUAGGGAGGGUGGUUAGCACCUCUGCUUGAGGUUGGCGGCGGCACAACUGCACAACGAUAGAGGCUGGGCAAUGGGUGGCACACUAGAGUGAGAUUGCUCGGGUGGAGGAAUCUUAUAUAUGGUGGUGGUGGAAUUUCUUGAGGACGCCGGAGAUGGGAGAAAAAGGUUGCUGAAGUCUUGCUAGAAAAAUCGCUAGCAAAAAGUCUUGUUUUAGAUCUAUAGAGUUUUUGGUGAUGCCUCAAGAAAUGGAUUCUAGAUCUGUGAUCAUCGCGAUGAGGACAAAAGGUUCUAGGAAAAGUACUAGAGAUAGAAGGAUGAGAAACUAAGAUUUUAGAGAUCAUUAGAAGUUUUGUUUCAAAGCUUAAAAUUUUAAAAUAUUAGUCUUAAUGGUAGGAGGAAUUGAUAAAUAUUACUCAAGUUAAGUCCUUCUACCCCGGUAUGUAUUCUACCACUGGAUUUUAACUUAUUUGGUUGAUUGCUCUCCCCACCGGACACGUCAGCCUAUACCCUUUCAUGUAGAGAAACACUAGUGUUUGCUAAAGGAAUAUUGAUAUGGAAACUUUUUUUCACCGUUUUACAUACCCGACGAAACACACACCCACGCACCCCAUGACCCAUGAGCCCGCCAUGGCCAACGGCCCAUAAGUGUCGCCGUUGUUGAUAAAGACGAGCUCGCUGGUGUUAGGGUUCUAGGUUUAGGGGACUCCAUGUCCGGCGGCCUUACAAAGGGAAGGGAGCUAGCGGUGGCGGCUAGCCUUGCGGUGGUAGCGGGUUGAUGUAGCAAGCAAGGUGGUGGGGGUGUUAUCGAUCGGAAGGUGGGAGACAACCGGUUGGCGGGGGCGAAGGUCAAGUGUCUUCCUCCUCGUGCUAAGAUUAGCGGAGGGUGAGGUGGUGUGAUGGGGCGGGCCAGCCGCGGCGGAGGCGCCACUGGCCGAGGCGGUGGGCGUGGAACUGUGGAAGGUGGAGGUGGGGUGUGAGCAGGGUUUAGAAAGAUGACGAGGUUGGAGCGGAGGUUAACGAAGAAUAACACAGGACGGGAUGGGGUAGCGCGUGAACCCGUCACGCAUUAACGUGGUCCCUUCAACAUGAGGAGCAGAUCGAGCGCCCAUCACGGCGUGGAUGCGCUCGGCUGUCUUGCACUCUCGCCGUCGCUGUCGUCGUUUGUCCGACGCCCUGAAUAGUAAAUCCUUCCCGGGUUAAACUAAUCGACUCGCCAUCUCCGUUCUCCCGUCGUCCCCGAUUAAACCGAGGUAUAUAUUGUGACUUACAGGACGUGGUGGGCGUGUCCGUGGCCGGACUCGCUCGCUAGCUGCUCGAUCGUGCACGAGCCAGGAUCCGACGAGGUGGUCCUGCUCCGUCGGUGAAGACUCCUCUACUCGUCCCCUUCCUCGUGCAAACCUGCGCCGCACAAGCUCAGCCGUAAGCUGCUCAGGCUGCCGUAAGACGCCGCAUGCAUCCGCCGUCUCUAUCAACUCUCAACCAGAUAGGCUCGUCGUCGUUUGUGAAAGGAUAUAAGUUAAGGACGCCAUGGGCAAAGGACAAAGGAAAUUAAAAGAUAUUUAUUUCAGUUUUGGGCCUUGGACGUACUUUCAGCUGCGUCUGCUUGCUAUUGUAGUCUGGCCUCUCUCACCUGUGGUGUGGGUGCCGCUUGUCGUGACUAUCGAUCUUCCUUGAUAUUGCUAAUUGGCACGACUCAAGCAGAAGAACAAGACAAAAAAAAGUUCACACACAACUUCCUUGUCGUGAUUAUCUUCAUUAAUAUUGCUACUUGGAGGCUUCUCAGUAUAUCUACGUCAAUCCUUAUGAGAUGCGGAAGGAAAAUUGACAAAUCGUGUAGGCAGUUUCAUAAAAAAAAAUCAGAAACAUCUAGCUUUUAAUUUUGUAGAUUUCAAUCAUCGCCACUAGUAAUACACCGUUCGACCUAUUCUCUUUUUCUAAAAAAAAUACCCAUCCGCCUCGACCAUUACGAAAAAUACAUAAACUAUUCCCUAAAGAUGCAUUUAAAUUUCCCAUUUCUCAUUAUGAAAGCUAAAUUUAAAAAAACCUCCUCACAUCGUAUUAUUUAAUUAACGAGACAUGCCGUUAACACUAAGUUUGCAUUUAUAUUACACACAUCUACCAUUAUAAAAAACAAUGUAAAUUCGCUAUUGUCCUACUUAUGCAUCUACACAAUUAACUAAAUAUCCUUCAAAUGUUUGACGUAAUACCAAUAUAAUCCAUUAUAGAAAACAAUCCAAUAACCAUAAAAAUGUCCUAUAUAGAUUUCUAAAUUACACAUUCCUUCUACCAUUGUAAAAUUAAAAGCUAGCAUUAACGUUGUGUUUCACCAUGUAGACAAGGUAAACAUGCUAUUUUAAUAGUUUAUCACUUAUGAAAAAUGUUCCCUAACCGAGAACAUACCAAUGACAUAGACACAAUUCACUUUAAGUUAUAUUAAUAUUUCAUGAUAACACUUUUUGUAGGUUUAAUCAGUUUAUAAAUGUAAAUGAAAUAUUAUCACUUAUAAAUACGUUAAUUUAAUUUAUGCUAUCUAUGUUUUCAUAAUACAAUAAUAUUACUACACUAUACAAUUCUUAUUUGUAGUAAAAAGAUUCAACAUCUUUAGGGUCGUGGCGCAGGUUAAAACAAUUUUUUAUGUUAUUGUAGUAACUAAGAGCCUAGUUAAGGCUGCAGAAUCUAUUUUUGAUUAAAAUAUAAAAUAUAAGAUUGAUAUUUUGAAUAAAAGAUACAAUAAGCACUAGACUCAACUUAACACGUGGAUAAGACAAUUGCAACAACUAAUAAAUCAGAAGUGAAAGUCAAAAUAGAUAUGAAGUCGCAAAAAUGUAUGUGACAAGAGCUAAUAUAACUGAAAUUUAGGAUUUAGCUAAAUACACAUUAAAGGCCCACAGAGGUGUAAUGCAGAUGAUGAAAACACAUAUAGACUUACUGGUAAAUUUUGACAAUCGGAUUAUGAUUCUAGAGUAUCUAAAGGUUUUGUGUUUGUAAGAUGAAUUCAGUGAAUAUAGAGAGUAAAGAUCAUCAUUUUGUUUAGGUUUUAUGUAGACUAUUUGUUUAGAUUUAGUAUAACACAGACACUUACAACCACACACACUAACCCCUAUAAACACACACAUGCAAACCCUAGACCUAUGAGGUACCUUCUAAGACGGGACCGACAAAUCCUCGAGACGAGAUUGAUGAAGUCACCACAAACGCUUUAUUGUCAAUGUGAACAUCAUCUACCACUGAAAUCAUAAAGUCGUUAAAUCCUAGAAUAUUCGCUCCUACGGGGAGUCAAACUUAGGACCUCAGGUGCUAUUGAGGUUCUGUGACCACUAGGCUACAUGCACUAAUUUACACAUAGAACUUCAAAUACAUCCCUAAAUACGAGAAAAUUGUAGAAAUCAUCUGUGUAGCAGUGCAACUUGGUGAUGCAAGCUUUUGUAUAUGAAAAAUAGGAGAAGAGAACAUUGCUGUAUGUAAAUGGAUUUCAGUUAUGCUUUUUUCUUGUGUUAAUAUUCUUAAUAAACAUAUUCUGUCCUGUGCAUGAAAAACAGAGGUUGGCAGCGCAAGGGGGAGAAAACAGAAUGAGAAGAAAGAGGCUCUGAUCCUAACCAUUGCUGGUUGUUCCUUGGAUGGCUGAGAGAUGCUGCUAGUGCUACUACUGCUUAAUUAUGUGCAGUAGCAGCACCCGAUCUUGAUCGCUCACAGUGGUGAGCCAGUCUUUAUUGGGUCUUGUUUAGUUCCGAAAAGUGAAAAGUUUUCGGUAUUGUAGCACUUUCGUUUGUUUGUGACAAAUAUUAUUUAAUCAUGGACUAACUAGGAUCAAAAGAUUCGUCUCGUGAUUUACAGCUAAACUGUGUAAUUAGUUUUUGUUUUAAUCUAUACUUAAAUGUUUCAUGCAUGUGCCACAAGAUUCGAUAUUACGGAGAAUCUUAAAAACUUUUUGAUUUUCAGGGUGAACUAAACAAGACCUUGGUCUAUAUAGACCAUUUUUCCUUUAUAUUGUGGCUGCCCUAUGUGCCUCAUGCAGUCAUGCAGGUCUCUCGAACUGUCACCUAUCUGACCGGGUAACAGUUUGUCUCCCUAGAGAAGCAAAGCCUUGAUCAAUUCCAAUGAAAGUCGUCGGUCCGGAACCCAAGAAAAUUAAGUUAUAGUGUUUGCAGUUCAGGCAGACAUGCAUGCACAACAAUCAAUUGAGCCUGCAGAAGGCAGGCAUGGAAAUGCAAAACCAUAGGCUGCUAUAUAUCCAGCGCCAGCUAGCCCAUGCAUGGUACGUGUGUACGUGCAUCAUCCAUGGCACCAAAUUAAACAGGUAGCCCCCGUCUCGCCUCUAAAUUUUGCAGGGGAAGCAGCAUUGUAGCAAACCCUACUGCCUCGGAUUUAUAUAUUCCUAGAACAAUUUCAUUUAUUGGUCCUGGGUAAGCCAUUUUUCAGUGUCAACAAUACGAAGCUAUAGGCUCAAAAAGUCAAAUAUAUAUUUGCAACAUAAGGUUAACAUUACUGCUAGAUGGACCAUCACAAAAGUACUUUUCAUAAUAUUUACAGAAAAUAUAUCAUGGAGUAAUAUAACUCUAUUUAAGAUAAUAUAUUGUUUGGGAUGUCAUAUGCGAGCAUGGACUAUUACUUUGUAGAUCUGUGUGUUCUCCUAAGGUUGCUAAUAUUAAGCGGUUCGAGAGUACUCCAAACCUCCAUACUGAAUGUUCAUCAGCCUAGUUGGCAUCACAGUAUUAUAUCACCUGAAGGUUCCAACUCACUGAUUACAUCAGCAUCUCCAAGAGUUUCCAAUAAUUUUUCCCAAAACCACAGAGUUUUCUAUCUCGCCAAAAAUUAUUAGGAUGAAUAAAUAAGACCAUCUCCAACAGUUAACAAUAAUCUACUCCUAAAAUAUAAAAAAUAAGUUUUACAUUAGGAAUCCUAUACUAUUUCUAAAUUAUCCAAACCACUUUUACAUAUUAUUUCUCUUUUUUAUAUUUGUAUCAGAAACCAUUUACUACUCUUUAUUAUUUCUCACAUCCUUCCACCUUUAUAGUGGCCGAUGGAUAUGCACGCGCGUGGUAGACGCGUGGAUAUAUUUGCGUGAUCGGUCUUUUUUCCAAGCAUGGAAGGAUUGGGAGGUGAGAUUGGGAACUAAUGGAGAUAGAUUUUUUCCAUUCUUGCCAAAAAUCUUAGAUUGGGAGGCUUUAUUGGGAACUCUUGGAGAUGCUCUAGGAAGCAAUGCUAGCACGAGCCAUAAACAUGCAAGUAUCGAUGUGGAGUCAAUAUGGCAAGAUAUUAGUCUUGCUAUACCUUAAUUGGAUAGCUAGAAUUAUUUACUCUUCCUCUUCUUUGCUUAGUCUAUAACCUAUGCCACCCUGUAAGCCCUAGAGCAAUAAGCCAUUCAAAUGGAGGACGGAUAUCAAUUCACUUGAAACUUUAUAUGGGCUAUGGUUUCAUUCACAUGUUCAUCGACCAAGUGCAGCGAGUGACAUGUGGGCCCCAUUUUCAAAAACCUCUCAUUGUGGCCCCAAGACUCUGCCAAUGAACUCGAGUUGAAUGGAAAGAAAUCACAAUGCCCCACACAACAAAGGGUGAUGGGUGGGCAUAGUGUGGAAGCAUCAUGCUGCAUAUUUAGGAGGUAGAGGUUAUGUGAAGUGGUGGUGUGCAUAGUGCGCAUGAGGGGUCUGGCAGGUAGGCUAGCUAGAGCAUAGUUGCACACUAGUGGCCAGUGGUAUGACCUAUCAAGAUGGAUAGGAAUAGAGUUAGCAAGUCUAAGGCCAGAUACAUAUGGCAAUUUGAAGUGUUUUUGUUUCCACUUUGAGUAUUUGAUUCAAAAUUAUUUUUCACAAAUUUCUCAUGCUCUUUGCUAUGUUAUCUACUGGCCCAUAGUUCAAAUUUAUUUUAUUUCCUUUACCACUGUGCAAGAAUUUGCUUUGUUAUCCACCUGCCAAAGUUUAGUUUGGAUGUAUGAUCUCUUGGAAGUCUUCAGGUCUAUUAAUUGAUGGUGAGGUUGGUUUCUUGGUCAAAUUACCUCAUGCUGGCAAGAUAUUUCCAUAGGGAUGCGCUCGGGCACAACAAGGCACACAAGUGUUGCUGAAUAUGGUGAUAAGGUGUGGAAAAGAUAUAAUUGGACACAUGCGAGUUGUCUAGACACAAUGCAUGGUUCACCAUGUCGAGGAGAUUUGAUACCGAAGAAAGGUGAUAUUUUCAUCGAUUAUGAGGAAGACAUCGAUGGACAACAUGACAACUCAUAUUGUAGGCAUGUGCGGCUUCUUGUGUUGCUCUGAUAGUUCCAAUGGCAUGAGACUAUGAUACAACCAGUGGGGCAAUAUGGGUGACAUGAUGAGUGGAAUAAGUGACAGCGUGGGGGAUGACGAUGCUAGGCAAGGGUGAUGUAUCAGUGAGGCCUGAUAGGUGAAAUGCAACUGAUGCCCUUGGCUAGAGUGGAUUGAGAGGGUAUGGGUGGUGGUGGGGGUGGAUCCAAGUAGGUUUAGGAAAUUAUAAAGGUUUCAUUCUUUUAGAGUAGUCCCAAUGAAUAACUACUUAGUAGUAACAUGGCAUAUAGACACCAAGUAAGAAAUUAUAGCUCACAACAGUGCACAAUCUCUAAUUGUGGCUACAAUGUAAAUUCUCCAAUCAUCUUUUUCAUGUUUCUCCUCCAAUCAUCUUCCUCCCCACUCCCAUAUUCUGCCUUGUUAUUUGUAAUACCAAUUCCAAUAGAUUUCAUGUUGUUUCUUGAACUUUGGUUCUAGUCGAAGGCCUAGUUUCUUGCAAGACACCCAAUUUCUUUAUGUUCUCAUCUCUAUCAUGUUUAAUGUUGUUGGCACCUCAGCAAAAUGUCCAACAUGGCAUCAUAUUAAAUGGCAUGAAAAUUAUCCUCUUCAUAGAAUAAGGACAGCCCUUGGUCGAUUUAGACUAAAUUUAGAAUUGGUUUUCAAUUUGAGUUAGGUUUGUACCAUCAAGAGUACAUUUCACACACACAAUUCAUGAAAGCACAUAAAUGCAUAUUCACUACCGGAAUCCGCAUCUUUGCCGAGUGUUAAAUACUUUGCUGAGUGUUUAUUUUUGGGCACUCGGCAAAGAAACUCUUUGCCGAGUGUCAAAAAAAAACACUCGGCAAAGACUUCUUUGCCGAGUGUCAAAAAAUAAACACUCGGCAAAGAAAAUUUUAAAUCGAAUUUUAAAGCCCUAAACGAAUUCAAAUCAAAAAGUUUUUAACUACAAAGUUGUAUAACUUCUCAAGAUCUACAACAUUUAUUUUGAUCAUUUCUUCAUUUGACAAAGCAAAAAUAAAUUUGUUUACAAAUUUUACAUCUCUCUCUUAUAGUUUAUGAAAUUACAAGAGAGAUAUAUAAAGAUUUUAGAAAAAUAUUAGAAUCUCCAUGUCGGAUAAAUAUAUGACAAAAUAACCAAAAUAAACUCUGUAGAUCUUGAGAAGUUAUGAAAUUUUGUAUUUGACAACUUUUUCAUUUGAGUUCAUCUUGUCAUGCAAAACCACGUUUUUAAUUGAAAAUUUUAAAAUUUGAAUUUUUUAAACAACCUCGGAUGGAAAAGAUCUCUAAAUAAACUUUGUAGAUCUCAAAAAGUUAUGAAACUUUGUAGUUGACAACUUUUUGUUUUGGAAUCAUCUUGUCAUGCAAAAACUACGUUUGAAUUUCUUAAAUUUAAAAUUCAAAAUUUGUAAACAACCUCGGAUGGAGAAACUUCCUAAAUAAAAAUUGUAGAUCCUAAAAAGUUAUGAAACUUUGUAGUUGACAACUUUUUGAUUUGAAAUCAUUUAGGACCUUAAAUAAUCAUUCUACACAUAAUUUGGUAUAAUAUUUGAGGAACCGAAAUACAAUACAAGCACAAGUCAUAGUGUGGUGCAGUGGUUAAGAGGGAGUACGCACAAGCAAGAGGUCACGAGUUCGAAUUCCAUAAACCGCGAAGAUCCAAAAAAUUCCAGAACUUAGCUGGCAAGAAGAGGCCGUUGGGAGCUGGAAAAAAAGAUUUUUUUUUCUCUUUUUUUUCGGAUUUUUUUGGUUUUUUUUGAAUUUUUUCGUUUUUAUCUUUGCCGAGUGUUUUUAGGCCUUUGCCGAGUGCCACGGACACUCGGCAAAGCGUGAGUGUCCCGUAGUGAUUGUUGUGUUUAAUGUAGUUUUUCCAACGUUUAUAGAAUUUCAAAUUGGCUCCUUUUAACGUGGUUUCAAUUCUAUUUGCGCCAAAUUGAAUUGAUUGAUUUAGGCCUUGUUUAGUUCCCAGAAAAUUUUGCAAAAUUUUUCACAUUCCCCGUCACAUCGAAUCUUUAGGCGCAUGCAUGGAGUAUUAAAUAUAGAUAAAAAUAAAAACUAAUUGCACAGUUUAGUCGGAAUUGACGAGACGAAUCUUUUGAGCCUAGUUAGUCCAGAUUAGACAAUAUUUGUCAAUACAAACGAAAGUGCUACAGUGUCGAUUUCCCAAAAUUUUUUGGAACUAAACAAGGCCUUAAGGAUUUCACACUUACAAGUACAUCCUGAUUCAACAAGUUGAAAGACAGAUCAAGAGCCAGAGCUACCACAACGGUAGUUUCCAGUUGCCUGUAAUGCCACUGAUGAUAUCUCAAAUUUGCUAGGGUAUCUAGCGUUCGAUCCACGAUCAAAUAUAGGCUGUUUGUGUAGAUAUUAAAAUGAAGAGAAAGGGAAUAUAGAUCGAUCCAUCAGAGAAGCAUUGAAGCAGUGCAAUAGAUAUAUGUCAGCAAGUUGGCCGUAAAGCAAAUGCAAGGCCGCAAGGGCAAGGGCGGCAUUGGUAGUUAAUAUAUACUGCCACAAACAGGUGCAUAUAUAAAUUAGGUUUUGAAUAAGCUACAGAUAGAUGCGCGUUAUAUAUACUGCAUUGUAGCAAAAAAGGUUAGUCGUCGUAAUAGCUAGGGCACGUACGAGCAUAAGAAGAAUUAUUGCAAAAAAGCAAAGCGGAGAGGGAGAGCUAGCUACACUGCAGAUCGAUAGGCAGCGCAUGCAGCAGCAGCCUCUGCUCCUUACUACGGCCUUGUUUAGUUCACCCCGAAAUCCAAAAAGUUUUCAAGAUUCUCCGUCACAUCGAAUCUUGUGGCACAUGCAUGAAGGAUUAAAUUUAUACGAAAACAAAAACUAAUUACAUAAUUUGUCUGUAAAUCGCGAGACGAAUCUUUUGAUCCUAGUUAGUUUAUAAUUGGAUAAUAUUUGUCAAAUAAAAUCGAAAGUGCUGCAGUAGCGAAAUCCGAAAUUUUUUCAGAACUAAACAAGGCCUACGUUUUAUUGCUCUUGAAUCUCGACGCAUGGACGAAGCAGCAGCAGCCUCCUCUGCUUGACUUGAAUGGUACUGUACGUACCACAGCAGCUCCACUCAGCUGGAUGAUCAUGCAUCAUGCAGCUAUGGCCGUGGAUUCGUCGUCUCGGUAUCCACGCUAGCUGCUAGAGAUUCUUCGGCUUCUUUAUUUGAUGCAUGCAGCAGCAUUCGCUUUGAUAGAGAAAGAUCGAUAGGUCAGAGGGCUCUGGAGAGGAAUGGGAGGGGACAGCAUGCUACAGACAUGAAGCUUAGCUUGCCACCUAGUAUGUAGUGUAGGCCGGCCGGGAACCCAACUUCCAUGCAUGCGUGCAUCGUGCGUGAAUCCAUGACGGGUCACUAGCGCUUUGCAGCAAGCUCAGAUGCUCACGUACUUGUACGGCCUUGUUUACUUCCCAAAAAAUUUUACAAAAUUUUUCAUAUUUCCCGUCACAUCGAAUCUUUAGACGCAUGUAUGGAGUAUUAAAUAUAGACGAAACUAAAAACUAAUUGCAUAGUUUAGUCGGAAUUGAUGGGACGGAUCUUUUGAGCCUAGUUAAUCUAUGAUUGGACAAUAUUUUUCACAAACAAACAAAAGUACUACAGUACCUGUUUUGCAAAAUUUUUUGGAACUAAACAAGGCCGCAUGGACGUCGUCGGACGACACUGCAGACACAGUAGUAUCCUGCAGGAGGAGCAUUCCAUCCCACUCCAGUAUUCACCCCUUGGAUCGAAAUACCUGCAGGCUGCAGCAAUGCAUGGGAGAAAGUGUAGUUGCAUGCUCUCCGGUCUCUACUGGUAGUACGCAAGAAGUAACUUGCAUGGCGCCAAAUGACAAGCUAGUGUGAAGAGCUUUGUCUGCAGCAAAUUAUAUUACUGUAUUUAUCUAGCGAAAUAUUGAGAAUCAAAAUCUUAGCAACUAGUUUAUUAUAUUCAACCCAAAACCGCAAAUAUAUGCACAUGCAUAUUAUUAUUAAUUAAUCAUGCAUGCAUGCACAAUCUCUCUCGAUCUCUCUCCUGUCUAGCUAGUAUAAGGCCCUGUUUAGUUCCCCACCUAAAAAUUUUUCAUCCAUCCCAUCGAAUCUUUAGACACAUGCAUUGAACAUUAAAUGUAGAUAAAAAAAAAAUAAACUAAUUACACAGUUUAGUUGAGAAUCGCGAGACGAAUCUUUUAAGCCUAGUUACUCCAUGAUUAGCCUUAAGUGCUACAGUAACCCACAUAUGCUAAUGAUAGAUUAAUUAUGCUUAAUAAAUUUGUCUUGCAGUUUCCUGACGAGCAAUGUAAUUUAUUUUUUUAUUAGUUUCUAAAAACCUCUCCCGACAUCCUUCCGACAUAUCCGAUGUGACACUCAAAAAAUUUUCAUCCCCAAUCUAAACAAGCCCUAAAUAUGGUAUAGGUCAGAAAAAAAACAAAAGAGCAAGAAGAGAACAAAAUGAAGAUAUACUCACAUAGUUUCCUCCCUCUCCCUCAUCAUAACCUUAUGAUGUGAUGUCCAAUCAGCACCUUAUCAUAAUGUGGUGCCCAAUCAGCAGUCUACAUCAUAUCGGCACAACAAGGGUUGUGUUACAGGGCAUAUAUGAGCUGAGUGUCUCAUUCCCCGGCCCCCAUCCUCUCUCUCUCUCUCUCUCUCUCUCUCUCUACACAAUGGCCGUACUAGCAGGCAGACAAACAUUGAAACGGUUCUGUCCAUAGUAAAAAGGAAAGAGGUUUGAAGAGGAAAUUCAAGAGAAUGAAUGCAUUCAAGUUUUCCAUGAAUGCAAUGCCAGUGGCUAGGGACAGCAGUGCGCAAUAACGUGUCCUCCCAUCCUGUCCCUCCCUCUCUCUCUUCUAUUCCCUUCUGCGCAUUCAAGUAGUAGUAUCUAUCUUGCCCUCUUCCAAAUAAGAUAUCUGUAAAGAUUUAUCUGCAUGUAAGGGCUUCCAAAUCCCCACUAGUAUACAUAUAUAUGACCAUACUAAUUAAUAAAAUGUGACGUCUCACACAUGCAAGUGUUAUGCAUUUUAAUAUCUCUAUGAUGCCAUUUUAGCUGUCGACUAUUUCAUCUCACUACCAUUGUAACCUCCAACAUGGUUCACUUCACUACUACUAUACAUAUAUGAUUUUUACAAACACGUCCUAAUUUUUUGAGGGGGUGCUUAACUUAGCAAACCAUUCCUAACUAGUUCCGAGAGCAUUGUAGCUUACAAAUAAACUAUCCAUGGAAAUAUAUUUUCAGGGCCACUCUUAUAUAUCCAUUUUCAGGGGCACUCUUAUAUUUCCAUAUGGAUGAAUCUGAUGUAGGCAAGAGCAAGCUAAAGAGGGUGAAAACAGUACAUUAGAACACAAAAUACUUCUUCAGGCCAUUCACAUUUCAAUUGUUGGCUCGGCCUUUCUGUUCUGUCGUAGAUCGUUUCUCCCUUUGUGGAAGAACCAAAGUUGAUGCCAAACCGAGUGAAUUAAGCCAAUAGUGAAGCCACAAUGUGUCCACAUCUGAUUGUUAACACGCCAGAUGGAGCUAGCAGUGUACAGUACUUACAAAUGAGAUGUGUGUGUGUGUGUGUGUGUGGGUGGGGGGGGGGGGGGGGUGUUGUGGAAGGUAGUCAGCAUGAAACCAUUUUUUUGAACAAGAAAUUCAUGAUCAUAUUUAUACAAAAGAACUUUCAAAUUUGAAUGCGAUGUGUUGUACGUCUUCUAAUACAAAAUCUACUACACACUUGGCUAUCUUUUUGAUAUAAUAUCGCAAGAUUUGAAUCUUUGAAUGUGUGUGUCCAUGCUUUAUAAAAGAGAAAUAGGGAGCAAUGUGUAUGGAUAAACUUUUCAAAAACUAUACCAAAUUAGGAGAAAUUAUGUGACUUUAUCUAUGAAGAAAUAGACACCAAAAUUCACAUGAACAAGGACUUGAUUGAACCCCAGUGGUCUCUAGGCUUAUUACAUCCACACUCUCAACUAACUAGGUUAGCUACACUCUCAACUAACUAGGUUAGCUAGGAUGUUUGUAAAUGUAAUAAAAAAUGUGUAAAUAUCCUCAUUUAAGUUUAGUAGGAUGGAAUAUCUGUGCAUGCAUGCAAUUUACAUGAGCUCUCUCCCAGCAUGGAACUAUAUCUCUUUCUAAACUUAAUAAUAAAGAGUGAAAUUCUUUUCUUCAGUCUCUCACUCUCUCCUCCAUCCACCCGCCCCUCAUGUAGUCUCUCUUUUACUCACUGUCACCCUUCUUGCUUUGAGUUGGAGGUGCAAAACUUCCGUUGGUGCCACACCACUCAUGUAAUGGUCUAGCCGUCGGAGCCAUUCAUGUUGCGGCAUGCGUGUGAAUGGUGUGGUUCACUUUCCACCUUUUUAUCAACUUACUACAAGUGAAGCACACACAAUAAGGACAUAUUUAAGUUGAUUUAAUCCUCUCUGUCAUUUAUCAGACAAGAUUAAUUCCUGUUUUAUUACAACAUUAACAUUUAUAAUGGGCAUUAGAAUAUGUUGGGCUCCAAUAUAAUUAAACCCAACAAAAAUAUCUAACUCAUUAUCAUCGCCACAAAACGGCACAAUAAUUGUACAUUCCACUGCAAUGGUCAUGCUUGUUAGUAUCCCAAAGAAAGCCAAAGCUAGCAACCCUAAUUAACAUGCAACUUUUUUCUCUCCAUACAAAUUUAUAUUAACCUGCUGUUAGUUCAAAAGUUUGCAUCAACUUUUUUUUCACAUAGCUAGCCAGCUUUUACUUGUGGCAGAGCUUGUAAUUUAACUCUGUGCGCGACCACCGCCAAUUUAUUUCCCAUGGUCAGUAGUAAGACUGUAGCUAGCACUGGUGCCGUUGGUCAAAGAGGAUCACUGCAAAGCUCUGGCCGUUUUGAUGUGCACCAAUUUGUCUCUCACACGCUCCCUUUCUCUGUCGGCCCGCCUUCAUUCAUCUCUCGCUCAUUACUGCAUGCAUAUAUGCGUUGUUGCUUUCACAUACGAUCGACCAUUGGAUCGGCAGCUGCGCAUGCAUGGCUGUCCAUGAUGCUCCCUAGCCCUAGCAGCUAGCUAGCUAGCUAGCUGGCUCUAUAUAACUGGAGGAUCUAGCCAGCUCCAGCUUCCAUCCCAGUCCCAUCCUCGUCCUAGCAAACCUCAAAGACAUAGACUAUACGAACACACGGCAUUUGGCAGCUGAUAGAUCGAGUUGUGUGUGUGCGUGUGUGGGAGAUUGCCUGCGAGCUACAUACAUCAGUAUCUGCAGUAUGUCUAUCUAGCUAUAUUUCCCAGCAAUAUUUUUAGCUCAUGACAGGCUCUGCUGAUCGUUGCAUAUAUGAUUUGCAGGUAGCUAGCUAGAACAACUUCUUAGAACACAUAUAUAGCUAGCUGUCGUCGUUCUGCAGUUAGCACACACACAACCAAGCUACCUAGGAUCGAGAUAGCUAGAGGCGUUGAAUCCAUUGAUCGAAUCGCGAUCCGAUCCAUCCGAGCUAGCAUUAGCAAUAGCAUCGCCGUCCACAUGCCGCAGACACCUUCGACCCGCUGGUGCCCGACGCCGGAGCAGCUGAUGAUCCUGGAGGAGAUGUACCGGAGCGGCGUGAGGACGCCCAACGCGGCGGAGAUCCAGCAGAUCACGGCGCACCUGGCCUACUACGGCCGCAUCGAGGGCAAGAACGUCUUCUACUGGUUCCAGAACCACAAGGCCCGCGAGCGCCAGCGCCUCCGCCGCCGCCUCUGUGCCCGACACCAGCAGCAGUACGCUCAGCAGCAGCAGCAGCAGGCCACCGCAGCAGCGCCGUCUUCGAGCCCUCUUCCGUCUCCAGCAGCAGGCGGCAGCAGCGCUGGUGUGCAUCCGGCGGUGAUGCAGCUGCACCAGCACCACCACCCAUACGCAACCAACUUCGUGCCACACCUGGUUAGGAAUUUUAAUUGUUCACGUUCCAGUAUUAUUCUAGCUAAGAAUCUUCAAAGUAUCAAUUUUAAUUUUGCAGAAGCUUGCUAUAAUUGCAUGCUUGAUAAUGUAUCUAUAUGUCCAUAUGUUAAUCAAUCGAUUAUUAGGGCUACUUGGGACAGCAGGCGGCGACUGUUCCGCCAGUGCUGAACCCAGCUGCUGCCGGCAUGGUGGACCUUGCAGCUGCAGGAGCAGGAGCAGGAAAUAAGGCUACUGGUGCAGGUGGUGGCUAUGGAGGUGGAGCUGCCUUAUACAACAGCUGCAGCAGCAAUCAGCUGGAGGAGUGGGACCCCGCUGAGGCCAUGGAGCACUGCAACGCUAGCUGCGGUGCCGCAUCGGGCAGCUCCGACGAGGGUGGCGCAGCUCAUCUCCAGCUGCCGCCAUGCUGCCGCCGCCCUCUCAAGACCUUGGACCUGUUCCCCACUAAGAGCACUGGGCUCAAGGACGAGUGCAGCAGCUCCAAGUCCUCCUCUUGCUCCACAUCCACCAACUAAUUAAUCAUUAUUAUUGAAUCCCUUUAGUUUCUAUAUAUCUUGCUUCUAGUAGUUCUUUGAUUUGCUAGCUAGCUAGCUAGAGUUAGUAGAUUUGGUCUUCUCAAGUGUGCCAUUAUAUUGUUGUGUUGUGUGUGCUCGCAAAAAAAUUGUUGUGUUGUGUGUCACGCUACCUCUACUUUGCUUGUUAGUGUAACUACGUUUAAGUUUCAGUGCUCGACUUCAAUCUAUGUGUAUCUAUCUUAAUUCAUGCAAUGGAUUUGUUUUAGCAGACUGUGACCUAUAUGCUCCAUUUACUCAAUAGCGAUGAGCGAAUGAACGGAUCGGAUGACUUAUAAUAUAUGGCUAUAUAUGGUUUACCUUCUUCCUCUUCUCUAGUGAUGAUUCCUUUAUUAUUGAGAGUAUAUAAAGUCUAGUCGUUAUCUUCUCCUAAAGUUAAUUGCAAUGUGAAGGGAUGAAGACUAAGAAAUUGCCACAUCAACUCAGAUUAUUCAUGCAACUCCAUAAGCAUGCACUGGACAAUGAUUUUUUUGAGUCAAGAGUGUAUGUGAAUAAAUCCCCACACACCACAACAUUUCAAAGGAAAAAAAAGACUUGCCACUUGCAUGGGAGUGCUAAUCAUUCCUUUGAAUAAGAAAUACAUUUUAUUAGGAUGUGGGAGUUCUAAUCAUUAUUUUGAAUCAACCAUACAUCACCAAAAGCGGCAUUUCUCAAUUAUCAGGACUCAAGGAUGUAAGGAUGUGCUUCAGUCUCCCACCAAAUUUCAGAAUAUUUUGACAAAAUUUGAGUAUUCCUUCCAAAUUUUCAUAUGAUCGUAAAAUUUAUCCACAUACUUUCAAAUUUCUAAAGCUCUAAUAAUUUUAUUAAUACAAAUAUUAUUUUCGCAAUUGUUUCAAAUGAAAACAAAAUAAUGCCACUCCAUUAGCCUUGGUCGAUUUUAGUCCAUUUUGUUCCAUCCUCCGUCAUACCUUGUUUCAGCCCAUGCACCUUCUCAUUCCUUCACGGCUGAAAUGAGACAGGAGAGAGGAGGUAAAGAAAUUGGUUGAAAUCAGCACAAUGCUAAGGUAUUUUAUUUAUUUUUGAUUAAAAAUAAUUACUUCUUGAGCUCUAAAACGUAUAAGAACAUUUCAAAGUACAUUUAGGACAUGAAUAACUUGGAAAGUAUGCAUGUGCAACCAUGAUUACUAAGAAGAAUAAACAAUCCACCAUUCAUGACUCUGUUUAAUAGAUUUACAUAUCAAUGUAAAUUCUAUAAAUAAUUUAGUAAUUUAUUAUUUUUUAUGUUGCAGAAGACAUGUGUUUAUAGUUAGCACUGAUUUCUUGCAGCGACAAUUUACAUAAGAAACCAGCUCUAACUAGAAUAGGGAGCACCGUAGCUCAUGGUCACUUCAAAUCCAUUUGUAGGGGUAGUUUCUUUAAGAAAACUGUACCCUAAAAAAUAAUUUCUAGGUCUUAUGAGUGAAACAACGCUAGAAAUUUCUAGGGGUGUUUCUCUUAAUAGAACUGCCCCUAAAAAAUAAUUUAGAGGACUAGUCCAUUAUCUUAGUGAACCAUCCCUGAAAACUUCAUAUAAAUCCUCCUUUCUUCCUUGCAACAACUCUAUAUAUCACUAGGAGGCGGUGAUGCUUAAGUACUAGUUUUUUUUGACAACAUACAUGUUGAUAUUGUGGAUUGCUUGUUUUGGGAUGCCAUUUCAAUUUUUUCAGUAUCUUUUCUGUCUUAGCAGAAAGUUAGGAGAUCUUCAAUAGCAGUUGUAUGAAUAGCUAUGUUGUUAAGAAAUUGUUCCAACAAGAUGAGAUCAUCAUUCCUUCUCAAAGUUAAAGUCAAAAAUUCUCCCAGAGAGGAUAGAAAUACAUAUAAUAUUUUAGGAUCUGUUGGAUAAAGCACAACUCAUAAAAACUUACUAGAAAAGCAAGCCCAUGAGCUUGAACUUGAAAUUAUGGUUUGAACAGCACAACUCAUAGAUUAAAUUUCUAGAUUGCAUUAAGAAUUACAACUUUGGUACAGGCCAUGUUGACAUCCGAUGUUGAUUGAAAAUUCUAAACUAUAAAUUUCAAAAUUUGAGAGCUACAAACAAACUUUCUUAGACUCUAAAUAGUUUCAGUAAAAAGUUAUCAUAUAUGAAGUGGUAGAUUACGUCAAGCCCUGUAAUUUUGCUAUAAAGCUCAUCUUCAUCCAACUUCAUAUUAAAAAGUUUUAAGUUUUGUCAAACAAUAAUUUCUAAAUAUGGGCCACUUAAGAGUGCUACAUCAAUUAAUUGAUCUCUACAGCUGGCAUUAUUAGGAAGCUACUAUGUGAAAAUAACCAAUGAUAGGUGUGUGUUUGCCUAGGGACUCUAUGUACAUCUCAGUUAAUCAUGGCAUAUAUCUUCUAAAAUUACUUUGUAGUAAUGCUCGUGGUGUUGUUUCACUGAUGUUGUCUAGCAUAUGGGCUGGUUUGACCCUCUUGCAAUGGUUCAUCACUCGAGCUAGUCAUUUGUCUAGGGUGGACCAUGGAAUAUGGUGAAUUGGUGAGUGAUUUUUCUAGAUAUAAAGGAAACUUUAGUUUGAGAUGAAACAUUAUUGUGACCUCUGCUUAAGCUAGCUAUACACAACUAAAAUAAAAGAAUAAAAAUGAUAACAUGCAAGAAGAGUUUGACUCCACUAUUCUCUAAGCAAACUUAGAAUCUCAUACUCAACAUCCAGCUCAAACCACCAAUAUAACAAAUCUACAAUCUAACUUUUGAGAAAUUAAAGCUUAACAUCUUUGCAUCUAUUUGAAUGUAACAUGAAGUGAGGUGGUCAAAGUCCACAAAAGCUUUAUCAUCCUCUUGCAAAAGAAGUUGAUAUGCAUCAAAAGCAUCUCACAUGUAUAUGAAGUCCACUAGGUGUCCUCUAUUAACUAACCAACCAACAUGUAGCACAUGACUAGCAAUCACAAAUGAUGACUGAUAUGACUAGACAAAAUGAUCGUCAUUCAAUUGAGCCAUAGUUAGCUUCUUUCACAAGCCACAACAAUUUGGACUAUCUGCACAUGUGCUCAAGAUACCACUAGGAGAAGAUGUGUUGCUAAUAACACCUAAGGUCUCUCCCAAUGCAACACUUCCCUUGAGGAAAAGACAUCCAAGGAUAUCAUCAUUGCAUGACCGAUUGAAAGUUAUAGAGUUUUCUCUUAGAGACAUCCACACCCAAGUAGGAUUGUGAACACAUUAUGGAGAUGUGUCAUGUGUGUGAUGAAUGAUUGACACAAAUAUGAGAGGUUUGAGGCUUUCUUUGCUGAGUCAUAUUUCAUAUGUACUUGAUUAUGUUAAUGGUUAACCAGAGGUGUAUAGUGUGUUGUGUUUUGUUGUGCAACAUGUCUCUUGGCUUGUAAUGUGUAAGUGCUGAGAGCGCCAAGACGGUCGACAACAAUAGAGAAGGUCAAGUGUAAAGUCCAUGUGUGAUUGGUCGGGAGUGGUGAAGGACGGAUGAGAAGGCAUGGAUCAAGGGACUAGAGGCUAGAGGACAGACAAUGUGCAACUUACACUAGGCACAUGAAGAGCAAUAGUACAUGGGGAGACAACAUCAACCAAGUCAAGGAGGAGGAUGGUGUUGUGGCACUUGGCAAAGGUCAAACACGCAUCUACAUGGGUGAUGGACAUGGUGUCAGUCAAGUCAAUAAGGAAGGCAAAGGAAAGAGCUUGGCGGAGGUUGAACACAUGUUGAAAAAUCAUGGAGUCAUGCUUGGUGAGGUGUGCAUGAGGGUUUGCUAGUUUUGUCCUCAAAACUAGGGAUGGAGAGUUUGCUUGUUUGGACCUUGUUGAUAUUUCUUAACAUCAAGUUGUCAUCCCUAGCAAUGAUGCCAUAAAUGUCUUAUUGGUAUUUAUUCGUUUUCACUUGUAAUUGAGGAAACAUUAAAGUAAUCCGCAAGCACACAAAUUAUAUAUCAUUGUAGCAUUUCACCCAGGAGUAUUCCAUGUAUCGUUAUUUAUAUUUUUACCACAGGGAAUGACGGGCAAAGAAAUUAUAUUGAUAACUAAUAUUCUACUCACAACAUGGGUAAGAUAGAAAAUAAGAUAUAUAAAAGGCAAUGAUCAUUGACAAUAAAUAGUUAAUCACUCAGAGCACUCCUUUCUAUGGCAUUAGCAUGACUAAGUAGAUAUUAGAGAGACAAUUCCUAAGUCAUCCUUAAUUACAAUUCAAUGCAUAUGAUGAUUAGUGCAACUACACUUAGUAGUCAUGGAUAAGAUCAACUUUAUAUCUACACAUAAGGGAUAUUACUAAGGAAGAUUAAGAAUAGGGCAUGUCUUCCUUUGUAACUAGAUCCUACUUGUUGACCUAUAUUCGGGGAGUGGACUACAUAGGACUCAACAGGAGUGUCACAUCCGUGAUGUAAAAUAUAGGGUGUAUCCAUUGGUAAACAAUGUAUAAGCACCACGCUUACAUAAUAUCGACCACUCACACCAUGAUCAUUAGUGUGAGUGCUAUAUGAACUUAUGCUUGAAUAAAAUGAUCAUCUAGCUAUACUAAGUAUAUAAUCAAAGUAGACAAUGAACAUGAUAAUUAGGAACAUGAAUGAUAUUAAGAACAAUAUCAUACCAAUUGUAGCAAACAUAAAAAAGUAAUGAGACAUACAAAAGAGAGGGGGUACAAAGGCUAUACCAAGCCACACUCUUGACACGAUCAGGAAUCUAGGCAAAGCUUGCAUCUCUCUAGAUCUAACCUAGCUAGGUAUGCCCUAGAAUAUGGUGUAGUUUUGAGGAUUAGGGUUUCUGCCUUCUGCUUCUAACUUGAAUGGCUUGAAUGCCUGAGAGAGGGGGUAGGGGCUAUUAGAUAUACCCCAGAGCAUCAAUUCUUAGCUCUCAGAUCGUACAGACUUGAAAGAACAAUGUAGAUGCAACCUAGGAGGUGGUGGAGAACUGACAUAACAAGAUAGAGUCCGAUAGGUGGGCCUAGAGGUUGGCGAAGCUUAGAUGGGACUAGCCGACCCCACCUAGAGGUGUCUCACUAUCUUCUUUGGUGGUUUGGCUUCUGGUGUCCUCUGGAACCUUCUAGAGUUCCACCUUGACGGUUUUCUAGAUAUCCCUAUAGAAAAUACAUUCACCAAACUCUUGGAAUUUGUUAGUUUAAACCCCUAAGUCUAUGUUGGUGAUUAUUUUCAUGCAUUCUCCAAGUUAUAUUAAUAGUUUAUAAUGGUUGUUGACUACCAUCAAUAGACCUCAAAGCCAUCAGAGGAGGGUUUGCUAGUUUGGGACUCAAAACCAGGCAUGCAUGGUUGGAUGGUUUGUGCCUCAAACCAUCAGCGACGGAUUUGACUGGUUUGAGCCUCAAAAUAGGGGAGUGGAGGAUCAAUGGACAUGUGGUGGAGUCUCAAAAGCUGGCUUCAAGGCAGAGCAGAGUCGACAAGGCAUCAGGUCUAUUACUCUAUGUAAUACCCGAUUUUAAGGAUAAAACCACAUAUGCACCAUAUGCGAGUUUUAUAAGGCAAAUCUCACAUAUAGUUACAAAUAAGGGGUAAUAUCAAAAGACAAUGCAUAAAACAUAUAACGUACAUAAUAUAAAAGAGAUAACCUUUGAUAGCAAACAGCGGAUAUACAACUCUAAACUUCAGGUAUUAACUCUUCUCCACAGGAUCCAACUGACUGGUUGAUCACAAGCCCAAAACUUCUCCUGAGGUGUGGGGAAAAUUGCAAGAGUGAGCACAUAUCGUACUCAACAAGUAUAACCAGGGGUUCAUGAGGCUCAGUUAGCUGACACUGGUUUAACUGCAUUUAGCUUUUAUAUGUAGAUAGCAUAUUUAAUCAUUGGAUAGCAAAUAUCAAGGUAGCAUAUUAAAUCCCAUAACCACAUGAUCAAUGUAUACAAGAAUUAAGAAUAACACAAAUAAACAACAUAAUAAACCAUCAUUUAUUAUCAUUAAUCAUGUUCAUCAGUGUCCAUCUAUUCCGUCAGUUUUCCGGGCCGCCCGUAUCCGUGGGCACGACUAGUAUACCAGAUUUAACACUCUUCAGAGGUUGUACAUCUUUACCCAUGAGUCAUGAUUUACCCUUUCGCCCGAGGCCCGUCGACCUCUUAGCUCACUUUCAAGGAAAGCCGGCAGGGUUCACUAUGAAGUCUUUCAAAGGUUCGUCUAACAAGUUAGGACCGCAAGGUUUCCUUUGCGCGCAAAUAUAGAUACCCCCCUUCCAAAUGGCACAAUGACGCGCAGCCUAUACACAUAAGGACAGGGGCUCGCACUAUACCCAAAACGGUUCAGCCCCUCCGCCCUUUCGGGUAACCUCUAACAAGCUAGAAAAGCUUACUCAUACUUGACUAAAGCCAGAGCCAUAUAGCCCUCAUGGUUGUACGAGUUGUCUCAGCUUUUGCCAAGGGAUAAGUCCUUAUGGAGGGUCAAGAUCAAUCCAGCAAAAGCCAGAGUUCUUUCCACCCUUUAUGUUCAAGUUGCUAGAAAGCUUAUUUUAUCGUUUAUGGUAUAUUCAAAUAUUCAUGUUACAAGAUCAUGGAUUAAUAAUCAAGCACUAGCAAGAACUACCCAAAUACAUAUCCAAAUAGGUAACAAGGAAUUCAUGAUAAUAAUCAUCUAUGAUUUUACUAGGGUCAUCAAGGUGGACACAUGCAUAUGAUAAAUGUUAUAUUAAUUGUGUAUAGGUAACAAGGAUAGUCCCAAGUUAUACUUGUCUUGAUCAAAGCUCUCCUGAGCCUGCUGCUGGUCGUCAAAAGCUUGACCUUGAUCACCAACUUAUCACUCACCGUCUAUACUCGAUCAUCGAUCAACAACACGCAAUCCAAUGUAGACAAUCAUACACGAAGCAAACAAGCUAUAAUUAGAACAAUACACCAAACAUUGGUAAAAUAAAUAUAAAAGUUUACCAAAAUAUUCUACGCAGCGCUACGAUCACACAAACAUAAAGUUCACGAAAAUCGGAAUUAAAACGGUGAAGUUAUGAAUUUUCCAGGAUUUUCUAUAGAUAAAUAAUUAAUUAAAUGCUACUGCAAAAUUAAAAAGUUUCAAAAUAGAGAAUAAAUACUUCUAACAUGUAGAGCUCGUAAAUACGCGAAAUUUGAAUGGAUGAAAACGGAGUUAAAAUGAGUAUUUUAUGACCAAAUCAAUUUCAAUGGCAAAACUGUAAAUAACAGAAAACGUAAUCUGCCUAAGCCGAACCAGAAUACGUUUUUAAACGGAGAAAGCGUAUUCUGCGCAAGCCGCCAAGGACUGCGGAGUAAAUACUGAAAAGUUUCAGGGAUUCUUUAUGAAGUUUCGCAGCGAAGGGGUAUGCUUUGUUUUGGGCCCUUGAUCCCAAAACGGAUGGCUGGCAGACGAUCUGGGGAAGAGAGGGGGGGGGGGCGGCGACGACUGGCCGGAACAGUCUUCCACGGCGGCGCCAUUGGAGCGCCUCGCCGGAGCUCGCGCUGAGGCAAUUUCUAGCACCAGGGAACAAGGGAAAAGCAUCAGGGGGUGGAGGAGCUCACCACGAAUCCUCCUAGGGACUUCACUUGGGCCGAGAGGGAGCAGGGAGAGCUCACCGCGGCGCCGUUUGGAUUAGAGCUCAGCGAGAUCUAACUGAGCGUCGGGAAGGAGCUAAAACCGAUCUCGGUCCUUUGUAGAUGGAAAAAGGAAUGCGUUGAGGGAAAGCCAAGGCUAAAUAGGGCUCGGGAAAAUCAAAUCCCAUGGAAACCGGGAUUUGAGGCAGAGCCUUCUUCGGCUUGGAGCCUUGGAGUCCCAGCCGCCCACGGUUCACGGAAGAAGAAAAGGGAAUGGAGGAGGAAGACGAUGUCGCGUGGGGCCCAGUCGUCAGCGAGAGAGAGAGCGGGUCCCAGUUGACAGCGGAACAGAGGAAAGGUGUAACACCCAAAAUUUGAUUUUCAAAUAAUAGGAUUUAAUUUAAUUUAUUUAAGUACUUUUGUGGGCAUAGAAAUCUAGCAACUAAAUAAUUGUGUGGGAAUUAAAAUUCAGUAUAGGUUUAGCAACCUUGAUUGAGCAUUCAUGCUGGAGCAUCUUUAUUUAUUUGUGCUGCUGGUAUAUGUUGGAUUUUAUUUGCUCUCAAAAUUUGAUUUUAAAAGGCUUUGGAAAAUUAAAAAAAAAAGAAAAAAAAAACAGCCGGACUCGGCUUGGUGGCCAAUUGGCCGUGAGGCCCAAACUGGCCAGCAGCGCGCGCACUCCCUCCCUCUCCCUCCUUUCUUUGGCUGACGGUUGGGGCCCCCACGUCAGCGCCCUUUCCUUCUUCCUCCCUGCCGUGCUCGAGCAGGAAACGAUUCCUCACCGAAUCGGAUCCGCGGAUCCCGCGAUUUCCUUGCCAAGCGCGCAAUCCGACCACUAUAAAGCUUCUAGCAUCGCUCCCUCGACAUGUUUUCGCAUCUAGGUCGCCAAAACCGAGUCCCCGUGCCUUGUUUCGCGAGUUCUGGAUCUCGCCGGGAGCUCUUUCCGCCGCCGCGCGUGGACACGCCCCUCUGCUAGCUCUCGGCCCGAGCCAAGCCCCCAGCUUCGUUCGCGGUGAGCUUCUCGCCCUCCCGGUAUUUUCCUUUCAAAAAACGGUGCUCGGAAAGGAGAAGCCGAGGAGCUCCGGCGAGUUUUCGCUCUCCGGCCAUGGCGGCCACCGCAUCGGACAGGGAGAGGCCAGCCGGCCACCGCCAAGGACCCCAGGAGCAGCUCGUGACCAUCCAACCGACGAUCAACGGCCGAGAUUAGAACAUACCUGUUCGCAGGGAAUUUUCAUAAAGAGUCCCUGGAAAGAGUGGUUAAUUACCCCGCGGUCCCUGGCGCCCUGGCACAGAUUACGUUUCCUUUGAUUGAAAGCGUAUUCCUGUCUGUUCAACUUGGUUUAUGUUUUCAGCUAAUUACAGAACUGCCACUGAACUUAGAUAGCUUAUAAAAUAUUCAUUUUAACUCUGUUUUUGUCCAUUCAAAUUGCGUUAGGUUCGUAAUUAUAUGCUCUACAUGAUAGAACUAUUUAUUCUCUGUUUUGAAACUUUUUAAUUUUCUGGUACUAUUUAAUUAAUUAUUUCUCUAUAGGAAAUCUUAGAAAAUUCAUAUCUUUCACGUUUUAAUUCCGAUUUUCGUGAACUUUACGUUUGUGUGAUCGUAGCGCUGCGUAGAAUAUUUUGAUAAACUUUUAUAUUUGUUUUACCACUGUUUGGUGUAAUGUUCUAAUUAUACCUUGUUUGCUUUGUGUAUGAUUGUCUCCAUUGGAUUGCGUGUUGUUGAUUGAUGUUUGGGAAUAGACGGUGAGCUGUACGUUGGUGAUCAAGACCAAGCUUUUGAGGACCAGCAGGCUCAGGAGAGCUUUGAGCAAGGCAAGUAUAACUUGGGACCAUCCUUGUUACCUAUUCACUUAUAACUACAUAUAUAUAUCAUAUGCAUGCUACCACCUUGAUGACCGUAGCAAAAUCAUAGCUGAUUGUUAUCCUGAAUUCCUUGUUACCUAUUUGGAUAUGCAUUUGGGUAGUUCUUGCUAGUGCUUGAUUAAUAAUCCAUGAUCUUGUAACAUGAAUAUUUGAAUAUACAAUAAACAAUAAAGUAAGCUUUCUAGCAACUUGAAUAUAAAGGGUGGAAAGAACUCUAGCUUUUGCUGGAUUGAUCUUGACCCUCCAUAAGGACUUAUCCCUUGGCAAAAGCUGGGACAACUCGUACAACCAUGAGGGCUAUAUGGCUCUGGCUUUAGUCAAGUAUGAGUAAGCUUUUCUAGCUUGUUAGAGGUUACCCGAAAGGGCGGAGGGGCUGAACCGUUUUGGGUAUAGUGCGAGCCCCUGUCCUUAUGUGUAUAGGCUGCGCGUCAUUGUGCCAUUCGGAAGGGGGGUAUCUAUAUCUGCGCGCAAAGGAAACCUUGCGGCCCUAACUUGUUAGACGAACCUUUGAAAGACUUCAUAGUGAACCCUGCCGGCUUUCCUUGGAAGUGAGCUAAGAGGUCGACGGGCCUCGGGCGAAAGGGUAAAUCAUGACUCAUGGGUAAAGAUGUACAACCUCUGCAGAGUGUUAAAUCUGGUAUACUAGCCGUGCCCACGGAUACGGGCGGCCCGGAAAACUGACGGAAUAGAUGGACACUAAUGAAUAUGACUAAUGAUAAUAAAUGAUGGUUUAUUAUGUUGUUUAUAUGUGUUAUUCUUAAUUCUUGUAUACAUUGAUCAUGUGGUUAUGGGAUUUAAUUAUGCUACCUUGACAUUUGCUAUCCAAUGAUUAAAUAUGCUAUCAACUAUUAAAAGCUAAAUGCAGUCAAACCAGUGUCAGCUAUUUGAGCCUCAUGAACCCCUGGUUAUACUUGUUGAGUACGAUAUGUGCUCACUCUUGCAAUUUCCCAACACCUCAGGAUAUGAUAAUGAAGGUGACUGGAAUGAGGAUUAUCGUUAUGAGUACUAGGUUUGGAGUCAACCAGUCAACAGUGUCCCUGUGUGGAGCUUCCGUCGAGAGCGUUGUUUAAUAUUAUUAUCAUUUUUGUGUAAGACUAUGUGAUUUAUUAUGUUCCGCUAUGUAAUAAACACUGCAAUGGUACAAUUGAGAUUUGUCUACUUAUGUGUGCGACUAUUCCUGGGGCACAUAUGAGUCUUUUAUGCAUCCUAUUUUGUUCUUAAAAUAUGGGUGUGACAAAUUGGUAUCAAAGCUUUGUUGACUGUAGGACGCAAACCUAGUUAGCAAAGGGUCAAAAAUUUAGGUCCUUACUUUACUUACUUCAUGCUUCCCACUAUGGUCUUGUUAUUUGCUAAAAGUUUAUGCUUCUCUAUCUUGCUCUAUUGUGAAAUUAUUGCAUCCAUCUGAUCUAUGUCUAAAAACUUUUUGUAGAUGCCGCCUCGUACCCGCAGUGCUGCACGCAUGGCUGCUGAGGAGUACCGUGCCAUGUUCAACCUAGGAGGACAACGUGUGGAUGGAGUUCCUGAGCUGGAGGAUGAGGAAUCAAGGGUGGAAGCUCAGGAGGAAGGACCUGAGGAUGAGGAGAUGCAAGAUCUACCUCCACCACAGUCUGCUAAUGCAAGGAUGGGAUGGACUACUGAGCUGUGGAUUCCAGAAGCAGAUCCCAAGGCCUUCUUCCAUGAGAAUUUGGUGUUAACAUUGAAACACCAUUACCCGGAUUUGCAAGCCACACUGGAGUAUAACUGCACUGAGCACAAACACCCGCUGAGGAGAUCACUUUGGGUUGCAGAGCUGAUAGUCAAGACACUGGAUGCCACCAAGGGGAUUCGAAAGGUGGAAUCAAAACACAUCGCUCGAAUCAGCCGGGACACGAUGAGAGAGAGCAUGGCAGAUGCAGCUUACCAGGCCUUGGUCUUUUACCGUGGUAGACGUUUUGAGGAUGUUCAGUAUAAUGCAACAUACCACUAUCCUCGCUUUGUACCAGAGAAGAUGACUUGGGCCAUAGAAGUUGCAGAUGCUUCACAACCAAAGCUUCAAGCACAAGUGGAGUUGACUUAUGAGCUGACACUCAAGGUGAUAGAGUUGGAGAAUGAACUACACCGUGAGAGGAAGCUGUUGGAGAAAGAGCAAAGGGAAGCGGAUGACCUUCGAGCGGAGUUAGGCCGCCCCAAACUUCAUAAGAGGCUGCAUGUUGAACCCAUCUUGAAGGAUGCUGCACCCGAGGAAUAGAAAAGAACCCAUAUGUAAUAGGAACGUUAGUAGUUUACGAGUAUUUCGAGUCUUUUGCUAUUGUGGCAUGAACUUGGUGUGCUUGCUGAUUUGUUAUUAUGAAUAUGUGUGAUUUGGAUUUUUGUAAUGAGUGCUGGGACUUUGUGGGCAUGUCCACAAGUUCCCUAGUUAAGAACCUUAAGUAAGAACAUGAAUAAAUAGUGGGUUGGGGUCAUAUCCUGUUUCUGUCUUUUGCUGUUUUCUGGAGCAGUCUGCAAUGAUUCUGGAAUAAAUCAAAUUCUGCUCGUGCAAUGUUCAUCAAAUUUUUCUGGGAAAAAGUAGACUUUCAUAUAUUUCCAAUGCCGCCAGAAUGACCAUAUUAUCUAUUAUGAGCUGUGAGUUAUGACUGUUUAAAGUUGAGGUUUCUGCGCAGUCUGGAAUUCUGGAACAGUUUCGGUUGUACCCAGUUUUUGGUUAACCUCACGUUGGAAUCUGGUAAUAUGACCUAAAUGAAAGUUGUAGACAAUUUCUUUAUCUUUCCAACGAUGUACAGCAUGUAUCCUUUUGAAUUCUGGAACUCGAGAUAUUACUGAUUUUCUGAUCUGCUGAUGUUGGAUGUUACCCAGAAAAUUUCAGACUCAGUUAACUCUUGUAAUUGUCAUGUUGGACAUUACUAAGAUGUGUUUAUAUACCUUGGAAUGCAGAUGGCAGCAAGGGGAAGAGGCAGAGGCAGAGGCCGUGGCAAUGGCAAUGACAAUGGCAAUGGUGGCAAUGCCCCAAUCACCGUGGAGGAACUCAUGCAAACCCAAAAUCAGAUGAUGCACGUUUUCAUGCAGCACCUGCAGCAACAACCUCCACCAACACCACCACCUGUUCAUGUGAGGGACAAGCGUGGAGAGUUUAUGAAGGGAAGACCUCCGGUAUUUACACACUCAGCUGAUCCCAUGGAGGCAGAUGAUUGGUUACGUGCUGUGGAGAGGCAGCUAAACAUAGCACAGUGCAAUGACUUGGAGAAGGUGUUGUAUGCUUCUGGACAGCUUCAAGGUGCAGCUCAGACAUGGUGGGAGUCGUAUCAAGCUGCUCGUCCCAACAAUGCUCCUCCUGUCACAUGGCUGGAAUUCUGUAGGGACUUCAGAGCUCGACACAUAAAUGAGGGAAUGAUGGAGCUCAAACAGGAAGAAUUCAGAUCACUCCGGAUGGGCUCCAUGACAGUGGCAGAAUAUCAUGACACGUUUGAACAGUUGGCUCGCUAUGCCCCGAAUGAAGUCAGGGAAGAUGCUGAUAAGCAACGCUUGUUCAUGAAAGGCUUGUACUAUGAACUCAGGUUGCAGUUGGCAGGAAACACUUAUCCUACCUUUCAAGCUCUUGUGAAUCGUGCUAUCGUGCUUGAUAAUAUGCGGAAGAGUCAGGAUAAGAAGAGAAGGAUGCUGGUACAAGGAUCUGGGAGCAACAACCGUCAGCGUUUCAGUUCUCAUCAAGGCCAUCAGCAGAGGUUCCAGGGACCAGUUAGUCAGUGGAACCGUAACCAGCAACCCCAGCGUUUCCAGAAUCAGUCGCAGAGUGGGAACCAACGUCCUUCAUUCCAACAACGUAACUACAAUCAACAGCAGCAUGGUCAGCAGACACCUCGCUCAGGAAACUCAAAUGCCAACUCCACAAAAAGAAGUGCUUCUAACACUCCUACCAGGUGUUUCCGUUGUGGGAAAGAGGGACACAUGUCAUAUGAUUGCCCGGAGAAGCUCAACAAGCCGAACAACAACCAGAAGUCUACUGCUUAUGCGGCAACAGUGAAUAAUGUGGCUACAGAGACAGUUCAGGAGGGACCAGAGAUCAUGAUGGGUACGUUCAGCAUCAACUCUAUCCCUGCUACAGUUUUAUUUGAUUCUGGAGCUUCGCAUACAUUCAUAUCACAAGCAUUUGUUAGAGUUCAUAGCCUUCCACUAGUUGCAAUGAAAACUCCUAUGCUAGUUAAUUCACCGGGUGGGACUAUACCAGUUUCUUUAUGUUGCCCCUCAGCAAGUCUUUCUUUAAGGGGGGUAGAUUUUCCUAUCAGUCCCAUGGUUAUGAGAACUUCAGGCAUAGAUGUGAUCUUGGGUUUGGAUUGGAUGAAGCAACAUGAAACAAAUAUUAAUUGCAAAGAGAGAGUAGUGGCUCUGACAACACCAAAGGGAGAACGAAUCAGUGUUAAUGUAACAGUGCAAGCACCACUCACAGCCAAGGUGAACCAACUGAAUGAAGAUGUUGAUCCUCAGAAUUUGGUAGUGGAUGAGUUUCCGGAUGUCUUUCCAGAUGAAUUGCCAGGUAUGCCACCUGACCGAGACAUUGAAUUUAUUAUUGAAUUACUACCUGGUACUGCACCCAUAGCUAAAAGACCAUAUAGAAUGGGGGUUAAUGAACUAGAAGAACUUAAGAAACAAAUUAAGGAAUUGCAAGAUAAAGGGUUCAUUCGCCCUAGUUCAUCACCAUGGGGUGCACCAGUUAUCUUUGUUGAUAAGAAGGAUGGUAGUCAGCGGAUGUGUGUGGAUUAUCGGUCACUUAAUGAGGUUACUAUCAAGAACAAAUACCCAUUGCCUAGGAUUGAUGACUUGUUUGAUCAACUAAGAGGUGCUUGUGUGUUCUCUAAGAUUGAUUUGCGUUCUGGUUAUCAUCAAUUGAAGAUUCGGAAUUCAGAUAUACCAAAGACAGCUUUCACAACAAGGUAUGGGUUAUAUGAGUAUACAGUUAUGUCUUUUGGUUUGACCAAUGCACCAGCUUACUUUAUGUACAUGAUGAAUAAAGUAUUUAUGGAGUAUCUUGAUAAGUUCGUGGUGGUCUUUAUUGAUGAUAUUCUGGUAUUCUCUAAAACCAAGGAAGAACAUGCUGAACAUCUGAGAUUGGUCUUACAGAAACUUAGAGAACAUAAGCUGUAUGCUAAGCGUAGUAAAUGCGAGUUUUGGUUGGAGGAAGUUUCUUUUCUUGGUCAUGUUGUCUCUAAUGGUGGUAUUGCAGUGGAUCCUAGUAAGGUGAAAGAUGUGUUGAAUUGGAAACCACCUACAGAUGUAAGCGAAAUUCGCAGUUUUCUUGGUCUAGCUGGUUACUAUCGUAGAUUCAUUGAAGGGUUCUCAAAACUUGCAAAGCCUAUGACUGCUUUGUUAGAGAAGAAUGCUAAGUUUGUAUGGUCUGAUAAGUGUCAAGCUAGUUUUGAGGAGUUUAAGAAGAGAUUGACUACUGCACCUGUGUUGGUAUUGCCAGAUCUGAGUAAGAGUUUCUCUAUCUAUUGUGAUGCUUCUCGUCUGGGUUUGGGUUGUGUUCUUAUGCAAGAAGGUAGAGUUGUUGCUUAUGCAUCCAGACAGUUGAGGAAACAUGAACUGAAUUAUCCUACUCAUGAUUUGGAGUUAGCAGCUGUGGUUCAUGCACUCAAGAUUUGGAGACACUAUUUGAUUGGGCAUAAAAGUGACAUAUAUACUGAUCAUAAGAGUUUGAAGUAUAUCUUCACCCAGACCGACUUGAACUUGAGGCAACGAAGAUGGUUGGAACUGAUAAAGGAUUAUGAUUUGGAAGUGCAUUAUCAUCCUGGGAAGGCGAACGUCGUAGCCGAUGCACUUAGCAGAAAGAAACAUGCUAAUGAGCUUCGGGCGACACCUGAAUCUGAAGAGUUGUGUGCUGAAUUUGCAUAUUUGAACUUGGGAAUCGUAGUAAAUGCUAUGGAGAUUGAGGUCACUCCUACUCUAGAGGAAGAGAUAUUGAAAGGACAGUUGGAAGAUGAGAAACUGAAGGAGAUAGCACAGAAUGUGGUACUAGGAAAAGCACCAGGAUUCAGAAUAGAUGACAAUGGUGUACUAUGGUUUGGAAAAAGGAUAUGCGUUCCAGAAGUGAAGGCUAUUCGUGAUAUGAUUCUGAGAGAGGCUCAUGAGUCAGCAUAUUCCAUUCAUCCUGGUAGUACUAAGAUGUAUCUAGAUCUGAAACAGAAGUACUGGUGGUAUGGCUUAAAGAGAGAUGUGGCCGAAUAUGUUGCUUUGUGUGAUACUUGUCAGCGAGUGAAGGCUGAACACCAGAGGCCAGCUGGACUAUUGCAACCAAUGAAGAUUCCUGAGUGGAAGUGGGAAGAAGUAGGCAUGGAUUUUAUAGUGGGUUUACCUCGUACACAGAGAGGAUAUGAUUCAAUAUGGGUAAUAGUGGAUCGAUUGACUAAAGUUGCUCACUUCUUGCCAGUCAAAACCACUAAUUCAGGAGCUCGACUAGCAGAGUUGUAUAUGGAGCGGAUAGUUUGUUUGCAUGGAGUGCCUAAGAAGAUUGUAUCUGAUAGAGGCACUCAGUUUACCUCUAUUUUUUGGAAAGCAGUGCAUGACUCAUUGGGAACCAAGUUGAAUUUCAGUACCGCGUAUCAUCCACAGACAGAUGGACAGACUGAGAGGAUCAAUCAGAUAUUGGAAGAUAUGUUGAGAGCUUGUGCCUUGCAGUAUGGGACUAGUUGGGAUAAGAGUUUGCCAUAUGCAGAAUUCUCCUACAACAACAGCUAUCAACAAAGUCUUAAGAUGGCACCGUUCGAGGCACUAUAUGGUCGGAAGUGCAGGACACCUUUGUUUUGGAAUCAGACAGGAGAAACUCAGGUGUUUGGUACGGAUGUGCUUAGACAUGCAGAACAACAAGUGCGAACCAUCCGGGAUAAUCUGAGAGUUGCUCAGUCUCGUCAGAAAAGUUAUGCAGAUACACGUAGGAGAGAACUAGCUUUCGAGGAAGGUGAUUAUGUCUAUCUAAAAGUGUCACCUAUGCGGAGUGUGAAGAGGUUUAAUAUGAAGGGAAAGCUAGCUCCAAGGUAUGUUGGUCCGUUUAAAGUUUUGCAAAGGUGUGGAGAAGUAGCGUAUCAGUUAGAGUUGCCUGAAAGUUUAUCUGGCGUGCACGAUGUGUUCCAUGUGUCACAACUCAAGAAGUGUUUGCGUGUACCUGAGGAGCAAUUACCAUUGGAAGAACUUUCUGUUAAAGGUGAUCUCACUUAUGAGGAGUAUCCGGUCAAAAUAUUGGAGACAGCUGAGAGAGUCACCAGAAGUCGGGUCAUCAGAAUGUGCAAAGUACAGUGGAAUCGACAUUCGGAAGCAGAGGCAACUUGGGAAAGAGAGGAUGAUCUGAGGAAGUCAUACUCAUAUCUAUUCGAGUAAGCACCGUUCAAUCUCGAGGACGAGAUUCUUUUAAGGGGGGUAGAGUUUGUAACACCCAAAAUUUGAUUUUCAAAUAAUAGGAUUUAAUUUAAUUUAUUUAAGUACUUUUGUGGGCAUAGAAAUCUAGCAACUAAAUAAUUGUGUGGGAAUUAAAAUUCAGUAUAGGUUUAGCAACCUUGAUUGAGCAUUCAUGCUGGAGCAUCUUUAUUUAUUUGUGCUGCUGGUAUAUGUUGGAUUUUAUUUGCUCUCAAAAUUUGAUUUUAAAAGGCUUUGGAAAAUUAAAAAAAAAAAGAAAAAAAAAACAGCCGGACUCGGCUUGGUGGCCAAUUGGCCGUGAGGCCCAAACUGGCCAGCAGCGCGCGCACUCCCUCCCUCUCCCUCCUUUCUUUGGCUGACGGUUGGGGCCCCCACGUCAGCGCCCUUUCCUUCUUCCUCCCUGCCGUGCUCGAGCAGGAAACGAUUCCUCACCGAAUCGGAUCCGCGGAUCCCGCGAUUUCCUUGCCAAGCGCGCAAUCCGACCACUAUAAAGCUUCUAGCAUCGCUCCCUCGACAUGUUUUCGCAUCUAGGUCGCCAAAACCGAGUCCCCGUGCCUUGUUUCGCGAGUUCUGGAUCUCGCCGGGAGCUCUUUCCGCCGCCGCGCGUGGACACGCCCCUCUGCUAGCUCUCGGCCCGAGCCAAGCCCCCAGCUUCGUUCGCGGUGAGCUUCUCGCCCUCCCGGUAUUUUCCUUUCAAAAAACGGUGCUCGGAAAGGAGAAGCCGAGGAGCUCCGGCGAGUUUUCGCUCUCCGGCCAUGGCGGCCACCGCAUCGGACAGGGAGAGGCCAGCCGGCCACCGCCAAGGACCCCAGGAGCAGCUCGUGACCAUCCAACCGACGAUCAACGGCCGAGAUUAGAACAUACCUGUUCGCAGGGAAUUUUCAUAAAGAGUCCCUGGAAAGAGUGGUUAAUUACCCCGCGGUCCCUGGCGCCCUGGCACAGAUUACGUUUCCUUUGAUUGAAAGCGUAUUCCUGUCUGUUCAACUUGGUUUAUGUUUUCAGCUAAUUACAGAACUGCCACUGAACUUAGAUAGCUUAUAAAAUAUUCAUUUUAACUCUGUUUUUGUCCAUUCAAAUUGCGUUAGGUUCAUAAUUAUAUGCUCUACAUGAUAGAACUAUUUAUUCUCUGUUUUGAAACUUUUUAAUUUUCUGGUACUAUUUAAUUAAUUAUUUCUCUAUAGGAAAUCUUAGAAAAUUCAUAUCUUUCACGUUUUAAUUCCGAUUUUCGUGAACUUUACGUUUGUGUGAUCGUAGCGCUGCGUAGAAUAUUUUGAUAAACUUUUAUAUUUGUUUUACCACUGUUUGGUGUAAUGUUCUAAUUAUACCUUGUUUGCUUUGUGUAUGAUUGUCUCCAUUGGAUUGCGUGUUGUUGAUUGAUGUUUGGGAAUAGACGGUGAGCUGUACGUUGGUGAUCAAGACCAAGCUUUUGAGGACCAGCAGGCUCAGGAGAGCUUUGAGCAAGGCAAGUAUAACUUGGGACCAUCCUUGUUACCUAUUCACUUAUAACUACAUAUAUAUAUCAUAUGCAUGCUACCACCUUGAUGACCGUAGCAAAAUCAUAGCUGAUUGUUAUCCUGAAUUCCUUGUUACCUAUUUGGAUAUGCAUUUGGGUAGUUCUUGCUAGUGCUUGAUUAAUAAUCCAUGAUCUUGUAACAUGAAUAUUUGAAUAUACAAUAAACAAUAAAGUAAGCUUUCUAGCAACUUGAAUAUAAAGGGUGGAAAGAACUCUAGCUUUUGCUGGAUUGAUCUUGACCCUCCAUAAGGACUUAUCCCUUGGCAAAAGCUGGGACAACUCGUACAACCAUGAGGGCUAUAUGGCUCUGGCUUUAGUCAAGUAUGAGUAAGCUUUUCUAGCUUGUUAGAGGUUACCCGAAAGGGCGGAGGGGCUGAACCGUUUUGGGUAUAGUGCGAGCCCCUGUCCUUAUGUGUAUAGGCUGCGCGUCAUUGUGCCAUUCGGAAGGGGGGUAUCUAUAUCUGCGCGCAAAGGAAACCUUGCGGCCCUAACUUGUUAGACGAACCUUUGAAAGACUUCAUAGUGAACCCUGCCGGCUUUCCUUGGAAGUGAGCUAAGAGGUCGACGGGCCUCGGGCGAAAGGGUAAAUCAUGACUCAUGGGUAAAGAUGUACAACCUCUGCAGAGUGUUAAAUCUGGUAUACUAGCCGUGCCCACGGAUACGGGCGGCCCGGAAAACUGACGGAAUAGAUGGACACUAAUGAAUAUGACUAAUGAUAAUAAAUGAUGGUUUAUUAUGUUGUUUAUAUGUGUUAUUCUUAAUUCUUGUAUACAUUGAUCAUGUGGUUAUGGGAUUUAAUUAUGCUACCUUGACAUUUGCUAUCCAAUGAUUAAAUAUGCUAUCAACUAUUAAAAGCUAAAUGCAGUCAAACCAGUGUCAGCUAUUUGAGCCUCAUGAACCCCUGGUUAUACUUGUUGAGUACGAUAUGUGCUCACUCUUGCAAUUUCCCAACACCUCAGGAUAUGAUAAUGAAGGUGACUGGAAUGAGGAUUAUCGUUAUGAGUACUAGGUUUGGAGUCAACCAGUCAACAGUGUCCCUGUGUGGAGCUUCCGUCGAGAGCGUUGUUUAAUAUUAUUAUCAUUUUUGUGUAAGACUAUGUGAUUUAUUAUGUUCCGCUAUGUAAUAAACACUGCAAUGGUACAAUUGAGAUUUGUCUACUUAUGUGUGCGACUAUUCCUGGGGCACAUAUGAGUCUUUUAUGCAUCCUAUUUUGUUCUUAAAAUAUGGGUGUGACAAAAGGAGGGGGGGGGGGGGGCGGCGCCGGAGCUGGGCCGGGGUGCGAUCGAAAAGAAAAAAGAAAAAGGGGAGAGAAGCUGGGCCGCACGUGCUGGGCCUGAGAGGGGAAACUGGGCUGCGGGUGGGAGGAUGGGGUGGCGCCAAACAGAAGGGGUUUUAAUUCGCUUCUUUUUUUAUUCUUUUAUUUCAAAGCUAUUUCAAAACAGUUUAAAACAAUUUUGAACUUUGCUCAAAAUCACACAGUACAAAAAUAUAAAUGCUCCAGCAUGGGUGCACAUACAUGUUACUAAAUCCUAUAAUGAGUUUUGAUUUAAUGAAAUAUUAUUUUUCCUAUAUUUUCAUGAGCACAAACAUACCCAAUUAAAUCAUUUUUCACCUAAUUUAAAAAGAGCAAAUUUUUAGGGUGUUACAAAUCUACCCCCUUAAAAUGAAUCUCGUCCUCGAGAUUCGGAAGAGGCACGGAUUCCAAAAGAGAAGCAUAAACAAGAUAUUGAUCACUAUUUCAACUUCACAACUUGUAUUCCAAAUGCAAGCACUUAUGUCUCGGGAUCACAACUUGUAAAUCAAGGUUUUCCGCAGAAUGUCUAUUAUUCAUAACUGAUUAAAGUCCAUCUUGACUACCAACUUUUUGUCUUACAACUCAAAGACAUGAUAACUUAGCAUGGAUAUGCCUCCUCAGGUAGGAGCGGACCACCUUGAUACUCAAUUCUUUACCCUGAUGGUGUGGUUAAGAAAAGUUUCCACUAGGUAGCAUAGAUCACUCCUUUGUGCGCACAUAACCAUCCAUUGACAAGAACCAAAGGAAUGUCGAGUGACUCUAGCACAAUGAGGUUUACAGUAAAGUUUUCCUUUUACACUUCCUUCGUUGUGGAUUCAGAUUUGAUUCAAUGUCAACUUGCUCUUCUAUAUUGUUAUUUUGAUAGUACUCAGCAUUGUCAUAAUCAUAACAUCUUUCUUCAAAGACAAGAUGAUCAUACUCUUCCCACAUAUCCAUGAGAGGUGUCAUAUUGUGGUCCUAAUCCAUGGGACACUACACUCCCCGUGACCAAUGUCAGUAACUCAGCAUAAAUCGUUGAUCGUAACCAUAGAAUAUCUCAGAAGACAAUUAUCACUUCAAAAUGCAUCAUCCUAUGAUAUCAGGGUACUACCCCCUUAAAAUGAGAUUGAUUGGGCACUACAAGAAAUGUAUGAUUUUUUGACAUAUUUAGUAUGACAAUAGACCGUGAUGUCAUUAUAUCAUCCAGAUUAUGACAUUAUGUAAUAGGCAUUUUGACCUAGUGACAUAAAAAAGUUGGAUGUCAUAAUAAAUGUCAUAGAACUAUUCUAAUUCCAUACCAUGUCUUUGCCACGUCAGCAUUAUCUUACGUGGCAUUUGCCAAAAUAGCACAAAAGAGACACCUUAUUCAGUGACUCGAAAUUGAAACACGUCACUAAUGUAAGAGCGAUGACGCAGAUAAAUAAAACAAGUCACUAGUUGGGAGUCAUCCCUGGCUAACAGACAAAAUGCAUGAUGCGUUCACAGCAACACGAGUCGCUGAUAAAGCAGGAUUGUUGGCAGUGACGCGUUCCUGCAACUCGUGUCUCAUAUCACCCUUCAUGGACCCGAAAAAAUAAUGAAAUCCGGUUAAAUGGUGGAAACUGAAGUCCGACACACCUUCCUCUCCCUCGCGUCUCUUCUCGGGCCAUCACCCUUUCUGGCCUUCUCUCUACUGCACCACAACACUAAUAUAGCGUCACACGUGUGUCGUUAUAAGUUCACUAAUACCAAUAAACUGUUGGCCGUUAUAGCUGGCCCACAGAUCAAAUGUCGGUAAAUGUAUCUAUUGCGUUAAACCAUCUGUCGAUAUAAAUAUUUGGCUGUAUAGUUGAACCAUCGGUCGAGAUAGAUAAACAAAGAGAACGAACAUUCGGUCAGUAUAGAGUGAUGCGUGCUUUGAAAAAGAAAAAAAGACAUGUUCCCUUUCAUGAGAAAAUAAAGAUGGGCCUUCAUGCUACCAGCCCAACUGAACACGACUCCCUCAACCCUAACCCCUAACCCCCACAUCCAGACUCCCCUCAGCCGCCACCCCACACCUCUCUCCGUCUCUUCUCUCGCCUCAAUACCACAGCUGCCGCUGCCGCUGCCGCUUGGCCUCUCUCCACCAUCGCCGGCCUUCUCCCGGCCUCCCUCUCGCUGAGCCUCCUCCUCGCCACCCUCGAACCGCCCUCCCCUUUCCCCUGCAAACCCUGCUCCUCCGCCCCUGCUUCCUCGUCGCCGCGGCGCACAUGCCGUCUCUCCAUGUUGUGCGCAUGUGUCCAUCCUAGUGCUUGGUGCAGCGGCUGUCUUCUUCGAGCACAUCCGCAAGAUCAGAUGCAUGCACUCGUAAGUCAGCUUCUGUGUUCCCGUGGUCAGGCGUUGGCGGCCAGAUCUACGGUAGCUCGGGCGAGGGCGGCCGGAUCCAUGGUGCCAUCUCCUGCGCCCCCCCACCAUGCCUUUGCGUUCAUCUCCAUGGCAGCAGAAGGCACACACAGGCACCACCGCCACUAAGCCCACCUGCGGAAUCUCCGAGAAGGUAGCAGCGAACCACUACCACAAGACUACGUCUGCCAUCCUCAUACAGGCAGCGUAGGUACUAAUCCCAAUCCCAGUCCCCCAUCUGAUCUCCAUUCCUAGAUGGAUCUGAUUUAUCCCUUUUCACAGUAGGUAGCUGAAUUGUAGCUGUCAAACACUCGUAACCUUGAGAUACAGGUGUUGGAUCUGAACUCAGUAGAAUGUUUCAGUCUACUCUUGGGAGGAUUUGGGCAAUUUACCCAUAUUGUUUUGCUACUAGAACAGUCUAAAUUAUUUAGAAAAAAUAUUAAGCCUAUUGACUAGGCCUUUUGCCCUAAUACAGAAAGUUUGUUUUUAACUCUACUAGUGGAACGCAUGACAUAUAACACUGCAGCAUUGGAUACAUGUAAACCUAGUAUGAUGCUGUGGUCCACUACUGUCUUGUUUAGAACAUAAGAGUGUGCCUAGGAAAAUAAUGAUGUAGUUUAAUUAGGCUGUUCUUCCGAGCAGAGACACUUAUGAGCCCAUGAGGGAAAAUUCUACUCCAAGGAUGCUGGCCACUCUCCCGUCAAUAUGUUCUCAUCAUGAGUAAAUGGCAGCAUUUGUGGUUAAUUCAUCAUGAUUAAAUGGCGGCAUUUGUGGUUAAUUUCGUUGACUACUUUCAGAUAACUAGAUUACUUUAGUGCCUCAUUAAGUCAUUAGUUGGUUAGCUAAUAAGCUUGAGUUAGUCCUAUAUUACAUGCAUAUCAAGUUAUUUUUAGUUCAGCAUUGUUGUGUGGCACAAACAUAUUUGUUUCAAUAUAUGCAGCCUUGGAUGUAGUCUGUUAUGCUAUUAGAGGGUUGCUCAAUAUAUGCAUUUGACUAUUUGUUUCACAUGUUAUACAGGUGAACAUUCCUAAGACCAAGAAGACCUACUGCAAGAACAAUGAGUGCUGGAAGCACACUCUGCACAAGGUGACUCAAUGCAAGAAGGGUGACGAUAGCCUAUCAGCACAAGGUGACUCUGCUAACUUUCUAAAUCUUUGUACUCCGUGGCAAGCUCACUAUAGUUCAUUUUCACUGGAGAGUUCAUUUUCUUUAACUGAACAUACAGAAUUGUUUACACAAUUCUUGUUUGAUGACUAUUAGCUAGUGAUCAUAUUCACUUCUUGCAGCUUAGUGGCUUCGAAAUUCCAUUACAGAAAUAGAAUUACAAUACCUGGAGGAAACCAUGAGAGCACACAAAUCAUUUUAGUGAGUUUACAUGUACUAGUAUUUGGAUUUUUUAUUUUGACUCAUAAUUACAGUUGUUAUAUAACCUGCUGAUGCUUCUGUGAGUUUACAUCAAUAUUUGGGCUGUCCUAGUGAUAAUACUGCUAGGUGCUAUUUUCAUAUUCAUUGACAGUAGAUUUUCAUACUAGUUAGUAUACAGUAUAGGCUACUAGCAGUAGCACUAUAACCUGUCUAGGAAGAUAUGUCAUGCUACUCUGUCUUUCUGAUAUCAUACAUAUGUAGACCAUAGUUUCUCUCUAAUUACUCAAACUCUGUAGGGAAUAGCUCAUAGCUACCGAGCUAGUUAUUAUUAAUAUUACUAGAAGUUGCUUCAAUCUUGUUAUGUUCUAUCUGAACAUAGGGUUUUCUUGCAUGUUAAUAAAAAACUUAAAAGUUACAUGGACCAAUCACCUCUAUGUAUGCAUAGAAAUAAUUUCCUAGAUACAUGGACCAAUCACCACUAUGUAUGCUAUGCACCUCUAGACUUGACAACUACUUCCUGUUUUGUAGAAAUUGAGCAAAAUGACAUUUCUUACAUUUAUGUCUUUAAUUAACUAUCUGUUGUAUUGUUGUAGCCUAGAAGCAGUUGGCCUACAUUGAGCUGAGAGGAAAGGAAGUAGCUAGAAGGUGGAUACUCUAUGUAAUUACUUACUGUGAAGUGUAAUGUGAUGUGUGAACUAAUCUGUGUACUUGAAGUGUGAACUAUCUAUACUGCUGUGAGAUGUACCAUAUUGUGAAACAUGGGAUUCAUGAAUGUACACCGUGGACCUAUUUUUUUUAUUUCUGUAAAUUGUUAUCAAAGACGCAUUUUGGCUAUAUGUGUCACUGCUAUCUUCACAAAAGUGACGUGCCCUUUCCACGUCACUAAUGACCCUCUGGACGUGUCACUAAUAUGCUUUUCUGGCAUAGUUAUUAUGACAAAUAACCAAUGUCAUACCUUAUGACAAAGAAUAUACAGAUGUCACAUGAUCCAUUUAUGACAGUGAUUUUUGGACAUAUAGUUUUUUGUCAACUAAUUGUCACAACUCUUAUAUUGUGACAUUAUUUUCAUAUGUAAUAACAUAAAUAGAAAGUCAAAAAAUCACAGGAUUCUUGUAGUGGGGGGACACUAGAGACUACUUCUCCUAUCCUUUCUAGACGCUACACAUCAUAUAGUCUUUUAAAUUUGCUGUACCGAGUCUCUUAAUCCAAGGUUAGUUUCAUCACUAAGUUCCAACUAUCGGUACCUUUAUCACAGUUAAGUUGCUCCACUCUCACACUAUACAUACAAAUCUGUAGACUUUGGUGUCAUCUGAUCCUCAUACACAACUCUUAAUCCAUGAGUAUCAGUAAUGACAUAAACCUCCAUUAGUAUUAGCACACUCCAAAUAGAAUGAUAUCUUGAAACAAACCAACAUACCAAGCACUUGAUGUACUUUAUAGAUGUUCCAGUCUUUAACCACUUCUUCUCCUUGUAGCUUCUUCAAUUGGGCUACCCCCCUUAAGGAAAGUCAACCAGGGGACACCAGAAAGGUAGCUUGCACGUUUCGAGAUAAGUUAACUAACAUUGAGAACCUCUGACGUACCAAAGAACUUAUGUGUAAGGGGAGAACAAACAAGUAUCCUGAAAUUUCCUCGUGAUAUGAAAACACCAGCGUAGUAAAAUAGGUAUAACUCUUAUUCUGUUAAUCCAAUAGAGUUGUAGCUUAUACCGUUAGAAAGAUUAUGAAAUUCACCACAACUUUCAUGUAGAAUACUUCCUCAGGUUCUGUCUUUAAACUUGAGUAAAACAGCCAAACUUAAUAUCCAUCCUAACACUGUCUCAGCAAAGGUGCAGUAACUUCCAGAAGUUAUAGCUCGAGCUACUUAACUCAUCUUGAGAUGAUCCUUACAUUUUUGAAAAGCUUAGGAAAUCCUCUACAACUUUCAUAUACAAUGUUUUUCCAGAUUCUGACUUUAACUUGGCUGAAAAUAGGAAAUACCAGAUCUGUCCAGAUUUCGAAACAGAACAGAAAUAUCCAGUUGUAAAUAUUAUAUCUCGGGUUCUACUUGUCCAAAUAAGUUCCAGCUUAUACCGUUGGAAAGCUCAGCAAAUUGUCUACAACUUGUAUAUAGAACACUUUUCCAAAUUCUAUAGCUAUAUUUGUCUCAAACAGUAGGCCACCAAAACUGGUCCAGGUUCUUGACAGCACAGUUGUAUCAUUUUGUGAUUUUUGGAACUUCCAAACCAUAAUAGCUAUGAGGGUGAUUCAUACGGUCAGAGAAAGAUCUUGAAGUCUAGUUGUUCUCAGAUAAAUUUGACAAACUUUGCACGAACAGAACUUGAGAUACACCAUGAUUCUUGUAGACUGCUCUAGAAAUCAGCAAGGGAUGGAAACAUGAGAUAGCCAAACCCAACUACUUAUUUCAUUAAUCCUUAUACCUUAGGCGUAUGAACUAAAUGAAAUUGUGGAGGAAUCCCACAAGAUCAUUGCAAUCAUUACAAAGAUCCAAAUCAAGAAUAAACAUAAUAACAAACCAAAUAAGCAUUAAAGGUUCACACUUCACUCAACUUGCAAUAUUGUCGUUCUCUUCAUAGUAAGGGUAGAGAUCCUAAAAUUCUUUUUCAACUAAGUAAGCAGGUGGUAAGAGAAGAUUCUAAAAGCUUAUCAAAUCAAGGAGUGAAGAUGAUAACAAGUACUUUUAAAAUAAGCAACAAGGUAGAGACAAAUAGCAAGGAUAGGGAUAUAGUAUGGAUGAAAAUACCAAGGUUUAUAGAGCAAGGAUUUUAUGACAAUUCUAAAACCUUAAGACGACCAAUUUCUAUCUAGGCUUGCGUCCUACAGUCAGCAUUGCUUUGAUACCACUUUGUAAUACCCGAUUUUAAGGACAAAACCAGAUAUGCACCAUAUGCGAGUUUUAUAAGGCAAAUCUCACAUAUAGCUACAAAUAAGGGGUAAUAUCAAAAGACAAUGCAUAAAACAUAUAACGUACAUAAUAUAAAAGAGAUAACCUUUGAUAGCAAACAACGGAUAGACAACUCUAAACUUCGGGUAUUAACUCCUCUCCACAGGAUCCAACUGACUGGUUGAUCACAAGCCCAAAACUUCUCCUGAGGUGUGGGGGAAAUUGCAAGAGUGAGCACAUAUCGUACUCAACAAGUAUAACCAGGGGUUCAUGAGGCUCAGUUAGCUGACACUGGUUUAACUGUAUUUAGCUUUUAUAAGUAGAUAGCAUAUUUAAUCAUUGGAUAGCAAAUAUCAAGGUUAUUACCGUAUCAAUGUAUACAAGAAUUAAGAAUAAUACAAAUAAACAACAUAAUAAACCAUCAUUUAUUAUCAUUAAUCAUGUUCAUCAGUGUCCAUCUAUUCCGUCAGUUUUCUGGACCGCCCGUAUCCAUGGGCACGGCUAGUAUACCAGAUUUAACACUCUGCAGAGGUUGUACAUCUUUACCCAUGAGUCAUGAUUUAUCCUUUCGAGGCCCGUCGACCUCUUAGCUCACUUUCAAGGAAAGCUGGCAGGGUUCACUAUGAAGUCUUUCAAAGGUUCGUCUAACAAGUUAGAGCCGCAAGGUUUCCUUUGCGCGUAGAUAUAGAUACCUCCCUUCCAAAUGGCACAAUGACGCGCAGCCUAUACACAUAAGGACAGGGGCUCGCACUAUACCCAAAACGGUUCAGCCCCUCCGCCCUUUUGGGUAACCUCUAACAAGCUAGAAAAGCUUACUCAUACUUGAAUAAAGCCAGAGCCAUAUAGCUCUCAUGGUUGUACGAGUUGUCCCAGCUUUUGCCAAGGGAUAAGUCCUUAUGGAGGGUCAAGAUCAAUCCAGCAAAAGCCAGAGUUCUUUCCACCCUUUAUGUUCAAGUUGCUAGAAAGCUUAUUUUAUGGUUUAUGGUAUAUUCAAAUAUUCAUGUUACAAGAUCAUGGAUUAAUAAUCAAGCACUAGCAAGAACUACCCAAAUGCAUAUCCAAAUAGGUAACAAGGAAUUCAGGAUAAUAAUCAUCUAUGAUUUUACUAGGGUCAUCAAGGUGGACACAUGCAUAUGAUAAAUGUUAUAUUAAUUGUGUAUAGGUAACAAGGAUAGUCCCAAGUUAUACUUGCCUUGAUCAAAGCUCUCCUGAGCCUGCUGUCGUCAAAAGCUUGACCUUGAUCACCAACGUAUCACUCACCGUCUAUACUCGAUCAUCGAUCAACAACACGCAAUCCAAUGUAGACAAUCAUACACGAAGCAAACAAGCUAUAAUUAGAACAAUACACCAAACAGUGGUAAAAUAAAUAUAAAAGUUUAUCAAAAUAUUCUACGCAGCGCUACGAUCACACAAACGUAAAGUUCACGAAAAUCGGAAUUAAAACGGUGAAGUUAUGAAUUUUCCAGGAUUAUCUAUAGAUAAAUAAUUAAUUAAAUGCUACUGCAAAAUUUAAAAGUUUCAAAACAGAUAAUAAAUACUUCUAACAUGUAGAGCUCGUAAAUAUGAAUCUAACGAAAUUUGAAUGGAUGAAAACGGAGUUAAAAUGUGUAUUUUAUGACCAAAUCAAUUUCAAUGGCAAAACUGUAAAUAACAGAAAACGUAAUCUGCCUAAGCCGAACCAGAAUACGUUUUUAAACGGAGAAAACGUAUUCUGCGCAAGCCGCCAAGGACUGCGGAGUAAAUACUGAAAAGUUUCAGGGAUUCUUUAUGAAGUUUCGCAGCGAAGGGGUACGCUUUGUUUUGGGAAAAGGGACGCGUUGGGGGAAAGCCAAGGCUAAAUAGGGCUCGGGAAAAUCAAAUCCCGUGGAAACCGGGAUUUGAGGCAGAGCCUUCUUCGGCUUGGAGCCUUGGAGUCCCAGCCGCCCACGGUUCAGGGAAGAAGAAAAGGGAAAUGAGGAGGAAGACGCUGCCGCGUGGGGCCCAGUCGUCAGCGAGAGAGAGAGAGCGGGUCCCAGUUGACAGCGGAACAGAGGAAAGGAGGGGGGGGGGGCGCCGGAGCUAGGCCGGGGUGCGAUCGAAAAGAAAAAGAAAAGGGGGAGAGAAGCUGGGCCGCACGUGCUGGGCCUGAGAGGGGAAACUGGGCUGCGGGUGGGAGGAUGGGGUGGCGCCAAACAGAAGGGGUUUUAAUUCGCUUCUUUUUUUAUUCUUUUAUUUCAAAGCUAUUUCAAAAUAGUUUAAAACAAUUUUGAACUUUGCUCAAAAUCACACAGUACGAAAAUAUAAAUGCUCCAGCAUGGGUGCACAUACAUGUUACUAAAUCCUAUAAUGAGUUUUGAUUUAAUGAAAUAUUAUUUUUCCUAUAUUUUCAUGAGCACAAACAUACCCAAUUAAAUCAUUUUUCACCUAAUUUAAAAAGAGCAAAUUUUUAGGGUGUUACACUCUAUUGGAUCGUGAAAGAAAAACUUGGAGGAUUUAUGAAGGAUUAUGAGGACGCUACGCUAGCCAGAAAACAAAAAUUUCAACCUCUCAUAAACUAGGAUAACUACUAGUUAUAGAUCACGGGAUUACCACUAGACGUGCAGGUGCAGUGAAAGCAACUCGGUGUAGUCAUGCACGUAGUAGCAGUGCCAUGUAGUUGCAUGGUCAUCCGUCAUGUCAAUCCCUCUCAUGCGAUUCAUCCGUCAUGUCAACACCUCCAAGGUAUCCCACACGUAGAGAGAAGAAACGUCGUGCCUCCAGCGGCGAGGAGCAACAGGCGCGGGUGUGGGUGAGCGGCGGUGGCUGCCAAAUGACAUGAGUAACCCUGACUGCCCCCACCCUCUCUUUUAUAGGCGUCCCCAAUCAGCCCCAAGUUUUAGGCCCAAUUAGAAAACCCUAAGCCUUGUCUAAUUCGGGUCCAACCCAAAUUAGGCUUCCAGCCCCUUAAGCGUGCGACUAUAUGAGUUCACGUACAUAUAGACAUAAGCCGAGUACUCCUACUUGCCAAAUAGUUGACAACGGCCUCUAGCAAGGCGUGACAACUCCUAUACGUAUGCAAAGAUCAUAUCAGACGAACCACUACAAACACAUACAUGUUAUUCCCUUGCCACCUAUCCCAACAAUUCUAGUCAAUUAAUAUCUCUAGAUCCAUCAAUGGCUAUGUCACACUAUUCACUAAGAGCUCUCAAACAAGCUACACUAAAGAGCUCCACUAGAUGAUAUUAAACUAGCAACCAUACAAGGUCUCAAAACUAAUUACACUAAAGAACUUGUUACAACUAGUUUGCAAGUAAGUAAAAGAGUGAGUAUGAUGUUUAUACCGCCAUAUAGAUGGAUGAACAAAUCAUAAAAUUAAUUUCAAUACAAUCAUCGGGAUAAUACUAAUGGUUCACGUGCUUGCCGGCAUGCUAGUCCCUGUUAUGUUGACCAACACAUGGUGGUUCAACGGCUAAGAGGUGUUGCACGAACCUUGCCCACACAAUUAGAUAUUGCAAGAAGCUACCCACAAGUAAGCUCACUCAACGACAUGAGUAACCCAAUAGAGUUAUCAUUUAGCACUUCACCGGGAAAGGCACAAGACCCCUCACAACCACCAACUUGUGCUAAUCCUCUUAUGCUACUCCAACCCAUCUAGGUGAGGACAUCCACCAAGAGUAACAAGAAUUCCAUAGCUACAAUGAUCCCCAAGUGCCACUAGAUGCAAUCACCCAAGAAAAUACAAUAGGAACCACUCUUAAUCUCACUAUGAUGAUGAAUCAAUGAUGGAAAUGAGUAGAAGAUGUUUAUUUAGGCUCACAAGGAUGUCAAGUAUGUCAAGUAACAAGAGAGUGAGCUACAAGUCAACUAACCCCCCUCACAAAAUUGAGCCAUUGGCUCUACACAUGCAUGACCGGACAUGCUUCGGUCCCUGGCAUAUGAUCAAUAGAUGGCCACCACAUGGCCCACCUACAAACUAGAGCACCACUUGUACUACCUUGAUUUUGAUCAUGAGAACCACUAGCUUACAUAAUUGAGGAAGAGAGCACCUAAUCUUUGUCAUCUUCGACAUCUAUCACUUCUCUAGGCCUUAUGUCACCAACAUCAUCCAUCUUCUUCAUUGCAUUGGCCAAUUGAGUGCCUCUCACAUCAUCCACAUUCUCAUCUUUCUCUUGGAAACCAUUGGUGUCAUCAAAUUCCACAUCACAAGCUUCCUCAAGAAUACCACUAGCCAAGUUGCAAACACUAUAAGCCUUGCUAGUAGUGGAGUAACCAAGUAAGAAACCUUCAUCACAUUUCUUCUCAAACUUGCUUAAUCUAGUAUCUUUCUUCAAUAUAUAGCAUUUGCAACCAAGCACCCAAAAGUAUGCAAUAUUGAGCUUUUAUUGCUUAACAACCCUCAUAGAAAUUGUCUUGAGAGGGUUAUGAGCUAACUCUUCUAUUUUUUCUAGCCAACCAUCUAUCAAUCCAGAACAUAGUAUUUGGGCUAUUUCCAUCCAAAGAUUCGACAGCCAGCUUGAAGAUGGCUUGAGCAUUAUGUGACAUAUGAAUAGGCAAGCCGGCCAAGGAUGAGAAGCAUAAGUUUUUCCAGCCAUAGGCAACAAAUACAGAGUAACCAACCUAGACAUUCUAAGUUAUGAAUGUCGAGGCCACCAAACUGCAAAGGGUUGAUUUACAAGUUCUCAAGAGACUAGGAAACUUCCACCAUUAGCCUUUUCAUGACCGACCUAGAGCCGUUGUGUAUUUUAUUUGUCUACAGCUUUAAUCACCCAUUUAGAGAGGUCAAAAUGCAAUCAUGAGGUACAUAGGAAUAGUGAUUAUAACAACUUUCACAGUGAUGAGCUAGCCAACAUGAUUCAUGAGUGUUGCCUUCCAGUUCAGAAUAGAUUAUCAACCACUUUAUCAACUAGUUUGAGCAAUUUAGUUUUGAAGAAUUCACUACUACAAAAACACUUUUACAAGACGUUUUGAUUUAGUCCUCGGAGGCAGUUGGGCCAAUUGCCUGCCUCGGUUAAUACUUAGCAUUAACCGAGGCGGUCGCUUUACCGAGGCGGUUACAGGAAACCGUCACGCAAAAUCCAUCAACCGAGGCAGACAUUAUAAUGUAACUGCCUCGGUUAAUAGACAUUUAGUGAGGCGGGCAUCCUAACUCAACCAUCUCGGUAAAUCAUUAACCGAGAUGGGCAUUCUAAUUCUACCAGUCUUGAAAAAUCAAGCCCAUCCCAAUAGCCCACAUAGUUCAUUACCAACUCUAGUAUAUACACAAAAUGAGCAACAAACCCUAACUCUCUCACUCCCUCUCCCAGAGCUGCACUCUCCUUCUCUUCUUGCGACCUCCAACACCGAGCAUGAGCAACGCCCCAUCUCCCUCCUCAUGAGAUCCGUCUCUCUCCUUGAGACCUCUCUUUCCCUCUCGAUGGCGGGCGUCGCGCGCUCUGGCAUCACGAGUACCGCGCCCCGGCGUUGGGGGCCCGACGGUGGAGGCUCGAUAGCAGGCUCGGUCACCUCUUCGGCUGGCGAGCGGUGUGCCCCAACGAUGAGGUUGUCGCGUGCCCCAGCCUCCUCUCCUCCCUCCUACAUGGCUGCGUGAGGUCCAUGGCUCGAUGACGAGCCGUGGCGACGUAGUUCUGAGGUACCUUAGCUCUCCCCAUCUCUCUCUUUUCAUCUAUUCAUCUCCUUCACUCUCUACCUCACCGGUGCUCAGAUCUACGGUGGUAGCGGGCAGAUCCAUGGUGGCUUCGCGUGGAAGAGCCUCCUGACGGCGGGUGCCUACAGCAGCGGCGCCUCAGCACUCCCUCCCUCCCCUGGAUCCGGCGAGCGGUGCUUAGAUCCGGCAUCGGUGGUGGCAGCGAUCUAUUGGGAUUGGCGGGCCCGUCGAUGGGCUCAGUGGGCUCGUCGAUGGGCUUUUUUUUUAUUUUUUCUGAUUUAUUUACCGAGGCGGGCAACAAACCAUCUCGGUUAAUUCUUGAUUAACUGUGACCUUUGUUUGGAGGUGGUUUUCUUUGCCCGUCUCCAAAAAUGAAAAACAACUGCCUCCGUUAAGUUUAUUGUAGUAGUGAUUUUCUGAUACUCAAAGGAAGACCGAAAUAAGUGCAAGAAAAAUCCUUUAUCUGUCAAGCCAAAAGAUUGGUUAUCAACUCCCGCUCUUCGGUGGGUGGUAAACUGAGCUCUUAGCAAUAUUAAUUAUGCCCAAAAAUAUCAAGCAACUUUCUGAUGAGAAAGAGAUCAUGGGCAUUUGGCUGAAGGAACGUCACCACAUCAUCAGCACAGAGGAUAUGUUGCUGAGGCUGCUACAUUGCAAGUGGCUGUAGAAAACCUUCUGGCCGGAUUCACUAGAGAGUUGAGAACAUCCACAUCACUAAUUUUUUGGGAUAUAUAUACAACCCCUCGGCAAUUCUUAUAACGCUUUUGGAGAAACAUCAUAAAUCAAUGACUUAUUUCUCAAUUAUCAUAAGGAAUACAUCGGCAUAUUUGUUGUAGUGUAUUCUUAGCUGGUAAAACUAGCCACCUCUACAAAUCGAUUUGUAGGGCGGUUUGGGAAUCGCCCCUACAAACCGGCCAUUUGUAGCAACGAUUUGAUAGGGGCCGCUGCCAAAACCGCCUCUAUAAACCAUCUUUAGCCGCCCCUAUAGAUCCUGAAGGUAGUAGUGCAGUUUAAUCAAUUUUAUGGAGAAGGGUGUAAACAUUUAUGUCACUAAAUCUAGCUAAUGACACUUAUUUUGCAUUAUAAUCAUUCAUAUACUUUUUUAAAAAUUUGACCUAGCAAAAAAUAGAAGAACUUCAUUUUAUGGAAAGAGUGCAUAGUCAGGGGCAGAUUUUGCGGUGGGUGGGUGGGCCUCAUGCCCCUCCUACCACCUUCAUGGCAAUGGAUCCCCUCCCUGGCCUCCUAAUUUUUGGAUUCAUGGAAGAGAAAAAGGAGGGGCUCUAGAGAUUGAAGAUGACUUCAGUCCCCUCUUCCAUUAAAUCCUAGAUCGAUCCGUCACUAUGCAUAGCUUUUUAACAGAAAUAAUUGUAGACAAUGACACAUAUAUGUUGACAUUCAUUGUAUUGUUUAGAGUUUGCAAAAGGUACAACUAUUGCAUCUUACAUUAAGUUUGAUUUGGUUAAACCACAAGCACUACUACAUAUAUUACAUUCUACUACAACUUUGAAGCUAACAUUUUGGAAUAAAGUAAACCGUAUACACAAUAUAGAUAGCUACUCAAUGCAUAUGGUUCCUCGCUGAUAUCCUAGCUCCUAGCAGUGAUGGAUGCCCUGGACAAUCCAAAGUUUAGUUGUUCCAGCUGUUGUUGCUCGGGAUGUACUCGUGGAGCCAGAUCUCACGCCCCCGUAUGAAGAUCGAGGCAUGUUCGACGCCGUUGAGUAGCAGGCUCACGAACCCUUUCCUCUUGAAGAUGACGCGGCCGUACAUUGGCUGUGCACCACCAGUGGUCUUCUCCAUGAGAACGCGGACAAUGCAGUCACCCCAGAUCCUGCAUGCAUUAUUUGAUGAGGUUAUGCAAUCAUGACAAGUAUAUAUAUAUAUAUAUAUAUAUAUGGCAUUGACAAAGCAUGUGUCAAUGAGUUGAUGCAGAACAUACUCCCUGAAGUAGCUAAAGAUCUCUUCUCGUUCGACUGCCUGACCCAGUGAGAAUGUAACGAACAUGGAGCGGCAGUCCUCUGGCAUGGUGGUGAUCACGCCGGCGUAGGGUGCUUCGAGCUCUGGGUUGCGGCUAACUAGGCCCGUCUGAUGGCGGCGCAGCAGGUGGUAGAGGCGAUUGUCAAAAAUCAGUGUGCAAACACCAUCGAGGAGGUCGGUGACACCGCGCACAAUGAGGUCCCGGUUGACGGGGAAGAAGAGGGGGUCGUCCAUACGGCUGUCCUGGCACAGCGCGGAGAGGAGUGGAGUUGGAGGGCCGGUGAGGAGGUUCCUCAUGUUAAGGCAGCGGAUGAUGUGGCUGGCCUCAGUGACCAGGUGGUCUAGGCCGGUGGUGCUCAUGCCCUGCAGACGAGAGAUGACCUGGUUUGUGCCCCGAUCGAAACAGAGAAGGAGCGCGACGACGUUCCGUGCCACCUGCGGGUGGCAGCUGCAAUCGACAAUCAAGCGCUCGUAUACGGCGUGGGCAAAGGUGUAGCGGUACAGCACGUCGCGGACGGUGGUGACAGCGGCCAUCAGUGGAGGGUGGAACUAAGCAAACAAGACAGCUAGCUCUAGCUAAUAGCAAUUGAAGAGCUUACGAAUGGGUGAUUGGUUGAUGUGAUGGAAGGGAAGCUCCAGGCCGGGGAUUUAUAGGCCAAGGGGAAGGACACGAUCUAGCAGGUAGUUUCUAGGUUGGAUCAUUGACGAGAAAAAACCUUCCAUACAAAGCUUCCUGAUAAAGAAAUAAUCGCUUGUAUAUGAAUAGACAUCUUCUGUCUAUAUUGUCUAGUUUAGAGGACAAUGAUUAUUGGCUAAAUUUUCUAUUUACUGCCUGAUGGCUACUUCGCUUCAAUUUUGGGACUACAGUAAUGCUUGAAAAUCUUUUGGCUAUGCCUUCUACUGCACACUUUCUUGGCAUGCAGUCAAUGCUUAACAAAAAUUAUCAGAUCUUCUUUUGGCUAUGCCUUCUAUUGCAUACUUUCUUGGCAUAUAGUCAAUGCUUACCAAAACUUAUCCAUGACUGAACUUAGUCACAGAAAUAUAUAUAGGGUAAUAAUUAAUCCAUUCCAAGCCCAUUAUCAGGUACAACUGAUACGUUAACCAGCUAGUAGCUUUAAUUUGCUACUCUGCAUUCAAAAUUAUUUAUUUAUUUCAUGCCUUACAAACACAUGUAGCUAUUAUAUGCACUGCCAUCAAUCCAAGCCACAUAUUAUACAGAACUUCAUUAUCAUUCACAAGCCAUUCCAAUUUUGAAUUGGAUGAUGAGAUGAAGUCCGCAAAUGGAUGCACUGAUCCCUAGGCCAUUUGACUAUGAUGAACUUAUCACUGGUUGUAUCAACAAUUUUUUUUUUCUUUUCCACAUUCUUACAUAGAGGCCCUAACAAACAUACAAAUUACUCUCUCUGUCCUGAACAUAAAAAACGCAUGUAUCCUUAUUUUAUUUUCUAAUCAGACACUAUCAUCAACUUGAUUGAUGGUGAUUGGUUGAUAAAUAGAAAAUAUUUAAUGCAAAAUUGAUUUUUGUUCUUUAGAAUGUAUUAUAUUUGAGGACAAAUUUUGAAUGAUAGAAUACACUGUAUUAAAGGAGAGGGAGUAAUAUAUAAGCUCAGAGAGGUCAUUGACACAACCAUCUCCAUUUCCAAUCUAUGUAUCCUGCCACUGAAUCAUUAAGGGGACAACGAACAAAAUAAAGAUGGUAGAACUAAGAAUUUGUUUUCAACCUAGAAAAAUGACUUAGAACCUUAGCAAGUCACAAAAGAGACAACACCCUAUCAUCCUCUUUUUUAAAAAAAAGAAUACAAAAACUCCAACACUACUUUAUCUAUGUCAACCAAAUGGAUGGUGCAAAAUCAAAUCUACAAAAGUAUUUAGUGGACAAAGGAAUAACUUGCUACCUUGUCACAUACCUCGUUAGAGCUAAGAAUACCCAGAAACAAGCUUAAAACCUUAACCAUGUUCCAUGUUGUAAUACCUAUGGAGAGAAACCUCUUAAAGUAGAAUUAUUGGAGACGCUCUGUAGAUCGACGAUGAAUAUGGCGAGUUCCCUUUCCUCCCUAUCGCUGGGGAGGUCAUCGGAUCUGGAGAAGAACAAAGACUAAUGUCAAGUAGCUAGGACCUGAGUCAUAAGAGCCAUCACAUUAAGGAGUGGAACAAAGACAUUGGUUGUAGGCAGAGGUUGAUUCUUAUAUAUAGGUCACAUCUUUGUAACGACAAUGACUGUUACGUUUGAUCAAUUUGUGCCUAUAUUGAUGUCAUCUUAGCAAAAGACCCAACAUAAACAAAGGCAGCAUAAAAUCCGCUGAUGCAAAUAAAGGGAUACAAAUAUCCAACAUAGUUAGACAAAGACAUAUGUCCAUAGCUAGUAUGCAUAUAUCAUUACCUAGCUAGAAUUUUGGAAACCUAAACAUUUGCCACGUCUUUACCAUGGAAGGAAAACUCACAAAGAAGAGAUUAUUUGGACACUAAGACUAGCAUAGCUUAGAUAUAUGAAUAUGAUGAGUCUCCCCUCUUCACCACCAGCGAGUCAACAAACCCUAAGGAGGGUUUGACCAAUAUAUGAGUUGGUCGAGACCCAAGUCAUGAGAGCCAUCACAUCAAGGAGUACCAUUAUAGUUUUUGUUCUAAUUGGUUGAUAAUUAUGUAUGUUUUGUCUUUAUAACCACAAUUGCCAUCUCUUAAGAAUCUCAGUUUGCCUAGUCCUCAAGGCAAUGUAUUGAUUUAUUGAAGGUGCAAUUGUUGAUGUGUUGCAAUUGUUGUAUUCCUUCCUAAGGAAUCUCUUAGGAAUCUUGUCAACUAAAUAUCCUUGAGUAAAUAACGCCCAUGAUGGAACCAUAAAAAAGGAUAAUGCAAGCUUGACAUGUAUGGUAUGUGUUAGGAUUAAUCACCAGCAGUAUUAAUGGCACUCUCGAGUGUAGGCAUUCUUUUCCUUCCUCUUGAAUCUCGAGUUUGAUCCUAAAAAUAGAUGGAAAAAAUGUUUAAGUAUAUAAUGCUCACUAGUGCAUCUUGAUCAUGGUAUUUAUGCAAGAGGUAUGUAGAAAACCAAAGGCACAUUUGACUGUUGGAGAAUGCCACCCUUUGUUGUGGGAUGCGACGAUUCCAUGUUGAUUUCUCUAUGUGAAAGACUCCCACAUGUUGCUUUUACUAAUAAAUAGAACCAAUCUAGGGAUGCCAGGCUAGGAGAUGCAACUAAAUACAACAACAAAAUAGGUCGUUAUAACAACUUAGAAUCUCCUGAUCUAAUAAAACCUAAUGACUAUCAGGGCCGUCCCGGACAAAAUGGAGGCCUUGUACGAAACUUAGGGCCUCAGCGGGGGCACCUCACUAUGUGUUGGCUGUUGUCGUCAGUUCCUCGUGGUUGAUGAUCGCGGCCGGUGCCCGGCGGCAGAACUGGUGGUGAUAGGAGACGACAGACGACAGACGAGACCUAACUGCGCGCUGUGAAUUUAGAUCGUCAAAACAAAUUGAUGCCAGUGCCCACCGUCCAGACAGACUUAGACUAGCGCUAGUGGCAGGCCAAUAAGUUAUUGGGCUGUAGUGCUGCAUAAUUUGGCUUGCUAAAUGCCGUAGCUAAUGCUGUGCUUAUCUAUAUAAAGUAUUAUAUAUUUGGAGGCCUACAACAUUUGGAGGCCGUGCGCCGUCGCUCAUGCUGCACUUGCCCGGGGACGGCCGUGAUGACUAUUAUACAGAUUUAUGUAGAAAAGGCUAUCUAACAAGGGACACCAAGAGCCAAAUUAGACUUACACCUCUAACACCAACCUAGAGAUAUGUUAUCAAAUCUAGCAAGGACAACAAUGAGAUUAAGAUUUUCACAAUUGAUCAUUUCCUCACUCUUAGUGUUAGAGAAAAUAGUCUGUAAGCAAGUACUUAUUAACUGCAAAGGAAAUAUAUGGUCCUAUCAGAACCCUCAUAUACUUAGUAGCAUAAUUGGAGCCAAGGAGAGAACACUCAUAUAAUUAUGAAAUGGUGGAGCAAUGGAUAUGGAAAUAUAUCAUGUAUGGAUAUAUAGUGACUUUCAUCUCAUGAGGACCUAGACAAUGAUGCUCUCUACCCUAGCCCACUUGAAGGAGGAGAUGUAGCAAUGGUGAUGGUGGAAGUGGAUUUGGCUGUUGGGAAACCUAGACAACAUUUUUUAUGUUGCUACCCUAAAAGAUAGGACUCGAUCUUGAUGCUCGGUGACAAGCUUGUUAGUUUAAGCGGAAGGGGAGCUUCUGGGCAUAUGGGAGGAGAUGGAUAGAUAGGCCAUCGAUACAUAGUUGGUUGUCCACCUCUACCUCGACAUAGGCUAGAGGUCUCUAAUGAGGCCCAAUAUGCAUAUUAUGUUCAAGUCCACCUUGGACUCUAGGAGCAGUCUGUACUAAAAUAGAUGCCUAGGACCCAAGCAAGCUUUGUUUUUGUGUUCUACCUAUGCACAAAAGAUAAAAAAGAUAACCUAACCAUUGCUGUUGGUUUCAUGUCAAAAUUCUUUCAUAAUUAAAGGGAAUCAUUGAAACAAGUUGACAUUCAGAAUCAGCUAGAAUGCUACAUAGGGAUGCGAAUAUGGGAUCCUUGGCCUCCCAUUAGACUAUAUAUUCAAUAGUCAUCGCCUCAGUUAGAGUUUGUGUUUUGCUUUAUAUCAAUUUGUCUUAAAACAAUCGUUGUUCAUUAGUUUGUGAGACCCCACAUUCAAGUGCUUAAUCAUUCAUAUGCAAUUGUCACUUCAAUUGAGUUCGAGUUCUUGCUUGUGUUGUUCGAUUGUCUUGUAGGGGUUAGCCUUCUUGGCAAGGUCAACUAGACUGUGACACUGUUGAUAACUCGAGGAGACAUGGUGAUAAGGGUGCAGUGUUCAGGUAUUUUCAUCCAAAGUCGGAACCAUGAAUCAAAAAAGGCAUGUUGCAUUUUAACCUCGAAGAUUUGAUCACUACUUGCUAGUGCUCCUCAAUGAAUAAAGAGAGAGGAGGAUGAAUUUUUUAAUGAACCACUACUUGCUUCUACCUUUUCUUAUCAUUUUGUCAUUGGUACUUCGGUGAUGGUCAAGGACAACAAUGCAACAAUGACGUUUUAGAUCACUUUGAACUCUACAAUUUUGGUAUAAUGAAUGUCUUGAUUAGACUUCAUAUGAAAAAGUUAUGAUUUUUUUUUUGCGAAACAAUUGAAACCUACCUAUUACUCUGAUUCAUGGCUACAACGCUAGUAAUAUAGUAACGACCAGGGAUAGAUAAGGUUUUCAUUGCCGAUUCAUGGCUACAACAAGGAGUGGUAUAUCACUACCGAUUGUAGCUAUGAAUUAACAGUGAUACAUUAUCACUGCUGGUUUCAAAGCAACGAUUAGUAGUGUUUUUAGCUUUGCCCCUUUGAUCACUCCAAAAAGGAGGCUCUGCACAAAUGAAACUUCUUUUCUGUAGGUAGCCAUUGGUCACACCAGGCCCAACAUUGAGCGAAGGAUGUAGGUACAUUAUUAUCUCCAGUUCCUUUAGCUACCACUGCCCAAAUCACUUCUGCAAUUGGACAAGUCAAAAAGAGAUGGCCAAUCGACUCAUCCAGAUCACAAAAAUGACAUGUUGGACUUCCAGUCUAUUUCCUCCUAAUAAGAUUAUCUUUUGUUAACAGGCAUCAUAUUGGUCAUAGCCACAUAAAGAAUUUAUCUUUCGAUGAGCUUUACCCUUCCUAAUUCUUUUCUGGAAGGUCCAGCAUCAUUUUUCUAAUCAGAUCACUAUACAUAGAUUUCAGGGAAAAGCGGUUGUUUUUUCAAGUCUCCAAAUAAUCACAUCUUUAUUCUCUUGGACUAGAAAAGUAUUCACAUCAGACUUAAUUUUAUCCCAGCUUGUCUGUAGUUCAUCAGUAACCAUCUUCUAAAAGUGAUUUGAAUUUUGCCAUUUUUCACAUUAGCUACUAGUAGCUUCUUUUUGUUCGCAUAGGAUGAACAGAAUAGGAACAACUGUGUACAAAGGUUUUUCAUAUAGCCCAGGAUCAGACCAGAAUCUAGCAUAAUCCUAAUGCUUCUGCCCUGUCAUACAAUAUAGGGGAAUCAAUGCUUUGUGAGUUACAGAAAAGAUGGAUUUAUCCAGGCGAGGAUCCACCCGCUAGGAUGGUCAGGAUGAACAUAUAU